UAAAAUUAACUUUUAAGCAGUAGUUUGUAAAACAUUUGUAGCCACUGACAGAAAAAGAUGAGCCUCAGAUUCUCCAACACAGAUUUUUCCAGUGGAACUAACUAAUAAACCCCAUAUCUUCUUUCUCAGCCAAUCAUCUCUCCACCACCUUAUCCACACUCCCCCAUACAAACAAACUUCUCUCCCUUCUCAAUCUUCCCCAAUUUAUUAUCAUCAUCCCCAAAACUAAAACCCUAAGAAAUCAAAUUAUCCAUACCAGGCAGAAAUAAACAAUGGCAGCCACGAUAUCUCCGGCGACAGUCCUUGCCGCGGCCGCCGUGGGCCCCAGCAGCAGAUCGUCCCAGAGGAGGCCACGUGUCAACUACAUCAACGGCCUCAAUUCAUUCGGCGGCCUCAAGGCGAACAACAGCGUCGCCGCGUUAGGGCUCCCGGUCUGCACCGACCACUCCUUCGCGAUGAUCGUCAGCUCGUUGAAGAAGCCCUCGCAGAGCAGAAACGGCGGCGGCGGCGCUCUCACCUCCACUUGCAAUGCUAUUGGUGAGAUCUACACCAUCGCCGCCAUUAUGCCCGCCCUUGUUCUCGUCGGCGUCGCCAUCGGAUUCGUCCUUCUCCGAAUCGAAGCCAUCGUUGAGGAAGAAUGAUUGGGGAAACUUCCAAUUUGGUUCAUAAUUGUUUUUUUUUUUUUGGCUGUUUUUAUUUGAUUCUAUUUUGAAUGAACAUCUGAUUUAAAAUUCCAAUUCGCCUACAUUAUAUUCAUAAAUAUAUAUAUAUAAAGUUGUAAUAAAAUUAAUUUCUUAUUUAUGUUGGCAUAUUUAAUUCAAAAUUACAAAUCCCAGCCUGUAACAAACUCAACCUCACCAUUCUUUGAUACUCUCCAUUUUUCAUGCCAAAAGAUUGAAACCCUAGACCACAAAGGAAUCGCGUUAUACCUUUCGUUCCUCCGUCUCACGGUCAACGGUAGCCACACGUACCUCGAAUCCCUCAAAUCCGCCGCGUUCCACCUAUCCGCCAUGAAAACGAACGAACCGUGCUCGCCACCUGGCAUUGGAACCACGAACGUCCCCUGCGAAAAGAAAGUCGCGGCCCGAAAGGCCUUGUUCGCACCAACACAAGGGUUCCCGAUACUCUCCCACGGCCCGAAUAUCGACUCCGCCUCGUGGACCGCAACCUCGUUCGGGGCCCACCCGCUGCACCCGGACGUCACCAUGUAGUACACCCCGUCGUGCUUGAACACCGACGGAGCUUCCCUGUACUGGCCCACUAGGGCCCGCUCAGUCUCGUCGGUGACGUCGAGAUAAUCUUGAUCCAAUUUAGUAAUGUGGAUCUCUUUAUUUUUAUUAGAGGAGUAGAUCAAAUACGCGAUCCCAUUUUCGUCCUUGAAAACCGUCAUAUCCCGGCUGUCGAACCCGUUGGGGUUCAGGCUUCUGAGAUACUCGAACGGGCCCACGGGGGAAUCGCUCGUGGCUAUUCCCACCGAGGCUUUCUUGUAUGUAGAAUCGUCUACGUGCAUCCACAUUAUAUAUUUACCGUUCUUGUCGUUGUAGAUCACUUUAGGCCUCUCCACCACUUUCUUCUUGUGUAGAUCAUGCGUCUCGUCCGUUUCGUCUGCAGAGAGCACAACGCCUUCGAAUUUCCACGCCCACAUGUUCUUGGAAGAGUAGCAUCCGAUACCGAUGAAAUCUACACGUGCGGGGCCCGUUUCGGAUGCGUGGUAGGUGGGGCCAUCUUUGUACUCUCCAUACCAAUAGUAGGUCUCCGAUUUCUCGUCGAACAAGAUGCCUCCGCCGUGGGCCCGGAUUCGAUUUCCGUCUGUGUCUAGCCACACUUUUCCCGGAUAAUAGUAACGGCCUUUGAUCUCAACAUCGAUUCUUGGAUCCACAACAUCUCUCGGGAAGAAGAUAUUCCUUGUAAGAGAUGAUUCGUUGAGGAACUCGUUAUUGAGGUUGAUUUUGUGAGGGUUUUUCAGUCCGUACGGGGGUAGAAGGGUCAAUAUCUCGACUUGGUCGAAUUUUAGUAGGGGGAGGGGGGUGAGGGCUACGAUGCGCCUCAUUUUCUCCAUUUCUACACCGACACGGUUAUAGAAAGAGCAGAAGCGGACGGCUAGAAAGAAGGUGAGGCUGAGAACCGCCAGCCGCCGCCACGAACACAGGCUUCCGGUGAAUAACCGCCGAGCCAUGUGGAUGGAAUGGAUCAAGUUCUAGCUAGAUAUAUCAAUGGUGUUGUUAUCACUCACUAGAUUGAAUAUAUAUAUACAAAUGUAAGAGCUGGAUUAAUCUGUUUUUAAAUUGAAGCCAAUAGCAAGAGGAGUUUUUUAAAUAUAUUUAUUUGUCCAGACAGAUUCAACUGAGUUUCUUGAACUUGAAGCACAAGUAUAUUAAACAAAGCAUUCCACUUGCUUAUGUCUACAUCUCGAGGCAAGAACAAUUUACUUGUUAAUGUUUACAUUCGAAUAUUCAUUAAUUCUGUUCUUCUACUAUGUGAUUGAGUAAAAAUUAGGGUAAAUUGCAUAUACACCCCUGAUGUUUGCUAAAAUAACUCUAUGGACCAUGUGGUAUUGGUAAUUAUAGUCACAUCCCUGAAAAAUUACCGAAGCCAAGAUUUCAUGUCCUGGGCGUUAAUGCUACCAUUGAUGAAAAUUUAUAAAUAUUAUCCUAAUGUGUUCUGGGGUGAUUGUAAUUACAAAUACUACAAGGACCUUAAAAUUAUUUUAGCAUACCUUGGGGGUGCAGGUGUAAUUUACCCAAAAACAAGGACUCUUUAACAGCACUUUGUGCUACAAUUAACAGCGCGAUAAUUUGCUUUUAUUACUAUUGUUAUUAUUAAGGGAAAAAAAUCUUAUUAAGGAAAAAUCUCCGGAAAGAGUCUUUCAAUUUCUUCAAUUUCAUGUUGCUCCGGCGACGACGGAGCUGAAAAACCCUAAUUACAACGUCCUUCAAGUCAAAGAAGUAUACAGAGAGAGAGGGCAAUGCGGUGGAGAUAUGAUGCAAGGUCUACACCACCAACAGCAGCAUCUGGCGGCGCUCCUCACGGCGGCGCUACCCAAGGACGACGUCUCCAAAGCUUCUGCUACCUCUUCAUCCCCUUCUUCCGCCGCCUCUGUCUCGCCGCCGCCUUCUGAAGAAGACGAAUCGUCGCGUCUUGCCGCCAUCACCUCUCUUCACCGCGCGAUACUUUACCCUCACAAUUCACUCCUCGUUAUACAUUCCGCCUCCUUCCUCGCUCAAGGCUUGUCUCAACUGCUAACCGAUAAGUAACAAUUCUAUCCUUAAUAUUUUCCCUGUCAUGUGUAUGGCAGUUCAUCCGCGCGUUAUUGUUAUAUUUGUAGGAAUUCACUCGUUUUUCAUACUCAUCAUGUUAAUAUCUCUGUAAAAAUAUUCUGCGCUGGUUAACUUCUAGAAGAACCGGUGCUGUUUGAAUUGCAUAUUUACAGAUAAUUCAGUUAGGACCUCAGCAUUUUGUCCGGUUAUUACUAUAUAAAUCGUUUCACACAACGGCGGGUGUGUGUGGGGGUUGGGGGUGGGGUGUAGCAUGUGUGCAUCGCUUGUGAAAUUAAUUCUCUACUUUGGUUGGCCGGAUUCUCUUCUGUCGUCACUUUUUUACGUUAUUCAGUUAUUAAGGACGAACGUGUAUGCUGAACGGUUACGCAAUUUGAUUGAAGUUAGUACGGCGCCUGAAUGAAAUAAUACAUAAUCAGAAGGUCAAGUUACCCCCGAUAUUUAUCCUGCAAGAGAGAGAAUAGAAACAUGUUUUUUUUUAUAUCAGAUUUUACUCGAUUUGAGGGAGUGAUAUUCAAUGGAAUUAUCGCAUGUAUGUAUACUUCUUGAAUCGUACGAGACAUUGCUGAACCGCGUACAUCUGGUGCCUGGUUACAGCAUUUUGAUUGUUGAAAAUCUAUAUGUGAUUUCCUUUUGUAUAAGUAAAGAAACUUCACAACAGCAUGGAUUGUAUGCUAUCCAUAUUUCCUUUGACAUGCAGUAAUUGAUGUAUGAUUUUUGUUAAAUUGCUUACGUUUCUGCAUAAUUUGUAGUUUGUAUGACUGGUUUAUUGCUUUAAUCUCGUGCUGUAGAUUGUACUCAGUGCGUCAUGCAGCAGCUAAAACGUAUGGGGCUUUAUGUUCUGUACUGUGUUCGCUUUCGGUAGCCUCAAAUGGAAGGCAAAACCAUGUUAUACUUGGCAGUUUGAUUGAUCGGUUCGUUGGAUGGUCAUUGCCAUCUCUAAGAAAUAUUGGUAAUGGGUCUUCCGAAUUAGCUUUGGAGAGCCUCCACGAGUUUCUAAGUGUUGGAGAGGUUGGAGCUGUCGAGAGGUAUGCUUUGCCAAUUCUUAAAUCUUGCCAGGAACUUCUCGAGGAUGAGAGAACCUCCGUGAGUUUACUUCCGAAGCUUCUUGGUGUGUUAAAAUUGAUUUCAUUGAAGUUUUUUAGAUGCUUCCAACCCCAUUUCAUGGACAUUGUUGAUUUGCUUCUUGGGUGGGCAAUGGUACCGGACAUUGUGGAGUCUGAUAAGCUUGUAAUUAUGGAUAGUUUUUUACAGUUCCAGAAACAUUGGGUAAAUAAUAUGCAAUUUUCUUUGGGAUUGCUGUCAAAGUUUUUGGGUGACAUGGAUCUGUUACUCCAGGAUGGAAGCCCUGGUACUCCUCAACUAUUCAAAAGAUUGCUUGCUCUGCUGUCUUGUUUUUGUUCAGUUUUACAAUCCUUGGCAUCUGGUUUACUGGAAAUAAAUUUUCUUGAACAAAUAGGCGAAACCCUUUCUCAGAUGGUGCCUGUUUUAGUAAGAUGCUUAUCUGUGGUCGGAAAAAAGUUUGGAUGGUCGAAAUGGAUUGAGGAUUCUUGGAGGUGCUUGACAUUGUUGGCAGAAAUUUUAAGUGAAAGGUUUUCUACUUUUUACCCUAUCGCAGUGGAUAUAUUGUUUCAAAGCUUGGAAGUGGAAAAUGUAAACCAAGUUUCUACCAGAAAAAUAUCUUCCUUCCAGGUUCAUGGUGUUCUUAAAACCAAUCUGCAAUUGCUGUCGCUUCAAAAGCGUGGUCUUAUGCCAUCAUCGGUGCAUAAGAUACUACAAUUUGAUGGACCCAUAUCUCAGCUCCGUUUGCAUCCAAAUCACCUUGUCACUGGAAGUGCUGCGGCUACAUACAUAUUUUUACUUCAACAUGGGAAAAGUGAUAUUGUUGAAAAAACAAUGGAUUCUUUGUUUGAAGAGCUACUGUUAUUGAAGGGCCAGCUUGAAAAAAGUUCAAGUAACGGGGAUGAGAUCGAAAUGACGGUAGCUUCUAAAGGUUAUUCGAAAUCUGAGCUGGUUGUGUUGGUAAAUUUUAAUUUGGAAGUACUAUUAAGCUGUGUUGCUUUGGGAGGGCGAGGUAAUUUAACCGGGAAGGCAGAAGUUGACACUCUGAGUGCUGUUAGGGCGGAAAAGUUGGUAGCCUUUUUAGUUAACAAGUUUGAUCCCUUUAAAUUGCCAAUCCAAAGAAGUUCAAAAUUGCAAGUCACUCUUAUAAGAACGUUGGAAAGGCUUGCCACGAUUGAGUUUAUGAGCAAGUUUCCAAUAGGAAAACAGAACAGUGGGAUGAGUUCUCCUGAAACAUCAUCUGGGACGUAUGCGGAAGAGGAAAUUGUGAGAGACCUAUAUCCAGCUAUGAUUUUUGGUCAUCUGAGGAGGUACACUAAGCUCCUUAUUAAAGCUCUUGAUAUUUCGUCUCCUUUGGCAGUCAAAGUAGAAGCCCUAAAAUGGAUGCAUAAAUUUUGUGAAAAUGUUAUUUACAUAUAUAGCAACAUAAAGGCUCCAUUUUACCCUUGUCAAGCAGUUGCAUGCUGGAAAAUUAUCCAGGACUUGCUUUUCUCGACCUUAGUUGCUGCUUCAGAUAGGGAACCAGAAGUGAGAUCUCGUGUGGCAAUAGUUCUUGAGAUGCUUAUGGAAGCAAAACUUAUCCACCCCAUGCACUUCCCUCUUAUUGCUGGAAUUAUCCUUGAAAAACUUGGUGAUCCAGAAAAGGAUAUAAAAAAUGCAUAUCUUAAGUUGCUUUCUCAUAUAUUACCUAUUACAACGUAUAUAUGCGGUCUUUGUGAUAGUGGAGCAGUCAACACAUGCCAGCCUCGAUUUCCUGCUAUGGCCAAUAGUUCUUCCUUGCACUGGAAGCAAGUUUUUGCCCUUAAGCAACUGCCUCAGCAACUCCACUCGCAGCAUCUUAUUUCUAUAUUGAAUUAUAUUUCACAUAGAUGGAAAGUUCCCUUAUCUUCUUGGAUCCAGCGACUCAUUUAUACAUGCCGGAGCAAAAAGCACCACCCGUCUAAUCAGCCUGAGGAGGCAGAGACUUUUGAUGCUAAUGGUUUAUGGUGGGACAUCAAAGUGGAGGAAGACAUUCUUGAAAGAAUUUGCUCGGUUAAUCUCAUUGCUGGUGCCUGGUGGGCCAUACAUGAAGCAGCUAGAUUUUGCAUUACUACUCGCCUUCGAACUCACCUUGGGGGUCCAACUCAAACAUUUGCUGGUUUGGAGCGCAUGCUCCUUGACAUUUCUCAUAUGUUACAGCUUGAGACAGAGCAAAGUGAUGGAGCUUUAAAUGUCAUAGGUUCUUAUGCUCAUUUGUUGCCGAUGAGAUUGUUACUAGAAUUUGUUGAAGCCUUGAAGAAAAAUGUAUAUAAUGCAUAUGAAGGGUCAACAAUCUUACCUCAUGCUUCUCGGUCGAGCUCUUUAUUUUUUAGAGCAAAUAAGAAAGUUUGCGAAGAGUGGUUUUCUCGAAUAAGUGAGCCAAUCAUGGAUGCUGGACUGGCGCUCCAGUGUCAUGAUGCUACUAUUCAUUACUGUUCAAUACGAUUGCAGGAUCUCAGCAACCUUGUGUCUUCAGCACUGACAGAUAAGUCCAGGGUCCAUGCGAGUGAAAAUCUGCAGAAUAUUCGAAGCAGAUACGGUGAUGAUAUUUUGAGAAUCAUACGGAACUUGGCUCUGGCUUUAUGUAAAAAUCAUGAAUCAGAGGCACUGGUUGGCUUGCAGAAAUGGGCAACCAUGGCAUUCUCUCCCUUGUUUGCCGAUGAGAAACAAGGUCCAAGUGAUAAUAAAAACUGGGAAUUUUUUUCAUUGCUUACUGGGCUUGUGCAUCAGGCAGGAGGCCAGCAUGAAAAGGCCGCUGAUCACUUUAUUCAUUUGUUACAGACUGAACAAUCACUCACUUCUAUGGGUUCUGAUGGUGUACAGUUUGCCAUCACAUGUAUUAUUGAGAAUUAUGCAGCUAUUUCUGAUUGGAAGUCUCUGGAAUCUUGGUUAUCAGAGCUGCAAACUAUUCGAGCCAAGUAUGCUGGAAAGAGUUAUUCUGGCGCUUUGACUACUGCUGGAAAUGAAAUGAAUUCAAUUCAGGCCUUGGCUCGGUUUGAUGAGGGUGAUUUCCAAGCAGCAUGGUCAUAUCUUGAUUUGACCCCCAAAAGUUGCAACGAACUCACACUUGAUCCCAAGUUGUCUUUGCAAAGAAGCGAACAAAUGCUUUUGCAGGCAAUGCUUCUCCAAAUUGAGGGGAGGGUGGAAAAAGUGCCCCAUGAGUUGCAAAAGGCCAAAUUAAUGUUGGAGGAGACAUUCUCUGUUUUGCCACUUGAUGGACUGGUGGAGGCUACAUCACAUGUCAAUCAGUUGUACUGCAUUUCUGUAUUUGAAGAGGGUUGCAAGCUUGAUGAAAGCCAGGGCAAGUCCUUCCAGUCAUUGUUACAUACGUAUAUCCAAACCAUGCAGUUUCCUUGUAACCAUGUUCAUCAAGAUUGCAGUUUGUGGCUAAAAGUUCUGCGUGUUUGUAGGAAUAUUCUCCCAACAUCGCCUCUGACUCUUGAGCUCUGUAGGAAUUUAGGGAUUUUAGCACGCAAGCAGCAGAAUUUAAUGUUGGCGACCCGUCUCAACAACUACAUAAAAGACCAUGCCUCAUUUUGCUCCGAUGAAAGAUCUCGCAAUUAUUUCAUCUCCAGCGUGGAAUAUGAGGACAUUCUAAUGAUGCGAGCUGAAAACAAGCUUGAUGAUGCAUUAAGAAAUCUUUGGUCAUUUGUGCAUCCUUUCAUGUUUCCUUCUUCAACUGUAGCAUGCGAUUCUCAUGAGAAUGUUUUGAAGGCCAAGGCAUGCUUGAAACUUUCAAAUUGGUUGCAAGGAGAUUGUUCAGGUAAAAACGUCAAUGGUAUUGUUCUUGAGAUGCAAGCAGACUUCAACAAGAGUGGCAUUUCUUCUCUAGGCAAAGAGGCGCUCACCUUUGGUGAUGGUAACCAAGCCUCUGAAUCAGAACCCAGACUUUUUAUCGAGGAGCUUGUGGGUUCCGCUAGAAAGUCAUCCAUCCUUCUUUGCCCAAUGAUGGGGAAGUCGUGGAUUUUGUAUGCCUCUUGGUGUUAUGCUCAAGCUACAGCAUCUGUCUCCUCCAAUGGUGAGGUGGCUCUUCAUUCUUGUUCUUUUUCUCCGAUUCUUGAGACGGAAAUCCAACCUGAGAGAUUUGCGUUAACUGGUGAAGAAAGAUUGCGUGUUAAAGAAGUGAUUCUACAAUUAUUUCAAGAAAGAUCGGAUAAGAAAGAUUCGCACGAAGAAAGUGGAGAUUGCAAUUUCGACGUUACUGAACGGACCGAUAAUGAGACUGAACCGAAUUCUUUAAUGCAGCAAUUAAUUGAUGUUAUUGAAACUGCUGCUGGAGCACCUGGGGCAGAGGACUGUAGUAGCAACAGCCUAUCUACUGCACUGUCUUCUCAGUUGCGUAAAUGGUUUUUAUCUGCUAAUAUUACCAUAGGUGAAGCCAAGGUAGUAUCCUUAGUAGCUGAUUUGGUUGAUGUUUGGUGGUCGUUGAGGAGAAGAAGGGUUUCUCUUUUUGGUCAAGCAGCUCAAGGUUUUAUAAAUUAUCUUUCGUAUUCAUCUUUGAAAAGUUUUGAUGGUCAAUUAACUGGCCGUGAUGUGGAGUCGAAGUAUCUGAGUUACACCCUGAGGGCCACACUCUAUGUGCUGCAGAUUCUGGUCAACUAUGGAGUUGAGUUGAACGAUAUCCUCAAACAUGCCCUUUCAAAGGUUCCUUUGCUACCCUGGCAGGUAAAGUAAUUUUUUCGGAUCUUGAAUGAAGAUUGAACAUACUGUAAUACUGAUCUCAUGUUCUAACUUUGAAGGAAAUAACACCUCAACUGUUUGCUCGAUUAAGUUCUCAUCCUGAUAAAGUGGUCAGGAAGCAGUUAGAGACAUUGCUUGUCAUGCUGGCAAAACUUUCUCCAUGGUCUUUAGUUUACCCGACCCUUGUUGAUGCAAAUUCUCCAGAGAAGGAGCCAUCUGAGGAGCUGCAGAAAAUUCUCGCUUACUUGGUUAGCAAAGGCUUUACUAUAAUCAAUAAUGUCUAACUAUUUUUUUUUUCUUUUGCAUGUGAUACAACUUUACCACAGCCCUCUUCUUUUGUCUUCUUGUGCAAAACUGUUAUUUCAUUUACAAUCGUAAGAUUUGUUUUCUUGUUCUAGGGAGUGAAUAAUAAUUGGGUGCACUCAUGUCUUGUUAGAUUCCCAUUUCAAGGUCCUUUUGUCUUGAAUAUCUAAAUAUUUUCUUCAUGUUUCUAUGUAAGUUUGUUUUCUGAGUACUCUUGUGGACUUAUCAACUGCUGUAAGUUAGCUUUACGUUGCUUCUUAACUCUAUGUAACUUAUCUCGCUUGGUUAUUGUUUGAUCACAUUUCUGGUCGACAGAUUACUUCUGGUGAGCAUGACGGAAAGCUAUUAAGUGAAUUAUAUUUCUUGAGAAAAGGAGCCUUUAGGCCUCAAUUUAUUGCUUUAGACAGCUGGCGUCAGUCGUAAUCACUCUUAGCAGAAUUUUUUUAUCCACGGCAUAUGAUCUUGACUUCCUCCUGUAGUAUGAAACUUAGAAAAAAAAACAAGUCCUAAUUGAUAUAUCAAAAAUAUCGUGGGAGGCAAUCCUUAAGUUAGGGUAGAUGUAAAGCUAUAAUUAGUGAUAUGAUUAAGUAAUUCUCUAAUCAAGAGGAUUUAAAGAUGACGAGAGAUUCCCCUAAUCAGAGGGAUUUGAUGUUGUUAGGUUAGAAAAUAUCCAUAGUUGAUGCAUGAACAAUGUUUGUAUAUAGGUCUACGUGAUUGAACAAAGGAAUUAUCAGUGAAAUUUGCUUUCCAGAAUUCUGUGGAAUAUUAUGUUUUACAUGUCAAAUUUUAUAAUAAUGCAAUUUUGGUUGAACCAAUCUUUGUUAUCAUUGUACUAGAUAUGCUUUUUGUUGAAUAUUGUACAUGAAGGUGCAUUUGUUUAAUAUGCAGAAUAGGCUUUAUCCAAGUUUAGUACAGGAUUCUCAACUGAUGAUAAAAGAGCUUGAAAAUGUAACCGUCCUUUGGGAGGAAUUGUGGCUCGCUACACUCCAUGAUCUUCAUGCAGGUGACUUUCUUUUUUGUCUUGCUGCUUUAACUUGAUAUAUGGUAGUUGAAUAUGCCCACACCUACCCUUUGGAUGUGAACUACUGUUUUCUAUGCCUUGCGUGAUCCUUGAAUGAGCAAAAGAAUGUUGGUAUUAAUCUUUGGGUCCAUUGCAAAUAGUACAACUGAGGUUUGACCUAAUUACGAAAAAUAAGAGGGAGCGAUAUGAAUCCAGAUCUAUGGAUCCGGUUUAACCUUCUUUUGUCUAGUCUCUUGUUUUUGGCAAUUUAAUAUACUUUUAUCUGCCAUUUUCUUGUUUCUGUACCUUUUUUACCCUGUUUGAUUCAAUAACUGAUUUUUUUCUUUAUCAAUUUAACCUAUUUUGGCUGUUUUUCCUAUUAUUGACCAAUUUAACUCAUUUUUGACAGAUUUUGCAUACUUCUUUUUUUAUCAGUUUAACCUUUUUUUACUGAUAUUUUUCAUUUUUUUGACUGAGCGAAUCGGCCAAAAAUAGGUUUAACUGGUAGAAAAUAUGUUAUAUUGGUCAAAAGUGGGAUCAAUUGAACCGGCAACAUAUAUUAAUCCUGCCAAAAAUUGUAAAAAUCAAAAAAGAACUGACCAGAAAUAUGUUAAAUGUUUAACCAAAAUACGCUAAAUCAGUAAAAAAAAAAAAGGUUAAACUUGUAAAAAACGAGUUAAAUGGAUAAAAUAUGGAACAAAUUAAAAAGUUGGUAUUUCUGUCCAGAAUUAUGCCGGCAAAAAAAUAUGUUAAAUCAGCCAUAAACAUGUUAGAUUGGCUUAAACCAUGGAACACUUUAAGUUUAAGGUAUGUUAUUUUCAAUCCAGUUACAUAUAAUCAGCAUAGUUGUUUACCAUUUUCUUGCCUAGCGCCUAUUGUGCAAUUCCUCUCUAGUGAGCUAUCUUUUUUUGGUAAAACAUUCAUGCACCGCUUUUUCUAGAACGUGUGAAUAUGAACGGUACUAAAUUAUCCAUCCAGUGUUCUAAACCCAUUUUCAUAUUUGGAAUCUCUUAGAUGUAAUGAGGCGCAUAAAUUUGUUGAAAGAGGAGGCUGCACGAAUUGCAGAGAAUACAACUCUUAAUCAUGGGGAGAAGAACAAGAUUAACGCUGCUAAGUACUCGGCUAUGAUGGCUCCUAUUGUUGUGGUCUUAGAGCGUCGUUUAACUUCUACCUCCCGGAGACCUGAAACACCUCAUGAAAUGUGGUUUUUUGAGGAGUACCAGGAACUAAUCAAAUCAGCUGUCACAAAAUUCAGGACUCCUCCUGCAUCUGUUGCAGCAUUAGGGGAUGUUUGGCGACCUCUGGAGACCAUUGCUAACUCCUUGGCAUCUUAUCAGAGGAAGUCAUCGAUUUCCUUUGGGGAAGUUGCCCCACAGUUGGGUUCAAUGUCAUCUUCUAAAGCUCCAAUGCCUGGUCUUGAGAAGCAAACUAUGAUAUCAGAAUCAGAGUAUGGCUUAGACAGCUUACACCAGGAAAUUGUGACAGUUGUUUCUUUCUCUGAACAAUUAACCAUUUUGCCAACAAAAACUAAGCCAAAGAAACUUGUUAUAGUGGGGUCUGAUGGUCUGAAAUAUACAUAUCUCUUGAAAGGACGAGAAGACCUGCGACUUGAUGCCAGAAUUAUGCAGCUUCUGCAAUCUGUAAAUGGGUUUCUGCAGUCCUCAUCUGCUACACGUAGGGAUUCACUUUCCAUCCGUUACUAUUCUGUAACACCUAUUAGUGGACGAGCUGGCCUGAUCCAGUGGGUUGAUAAUGUGAUUAGCAUAUAUAGUGUUUUUAAAUCAUGGCAGAACAGAACGCAGUUACAACAGCUUUAUGCAUUGGGUGCUGAUACAAAUAGUGCUGUUCCUCCUGUCCCUCGGCCCAGUGACAUGUUCUACAGCAAAAUCAUACCAGCCCUUAAAGAGAAAGGUAUAAGAAGAGUAAUAUCGAGAAGAGACUGGCCUCAUGAUGUUAAGAGGAAAGUUCUUUUAGAUCUCAUGAACGAGACUCCAAAGCAACUUCUUCAUCAGGAACUUUGGUGUGCCAGUGAAGGGUUCAAAGCCUUCAGUGCAAAAUUGAAAAGGUAUUUCUAUUGAUCUUAAAAGAAUGACUCUAGCUAUUCUUUUCCUAUGCUUAAGAUGAACAUAGAUGCCAGCAUUAUGUUUUUAGAAAUAAUGGCUGAUCUUCAUGUAGUCUGUCAUUGAUAUUUUACGACGUUUUUCUCUCUGUGCAAUUUCCGUUAUUAUUGAUUUUUUUUCAGUCACCCCAAAAUUUGUGCAUGAUGAAUUCGAAAGAUGUAGAGGGAUACAUCCCAACACACGACUUAAUAGAUAAAACACUAGCUGCAAUAUUUGAGAAACAGGAUAGCGGAGAUAAACUUUUGUUUUUGUGCUCAAUGGUUCUAGGUUGAUUGUAUAUUGCCUGCAGACACUAUUCAUUUUUAACAGGCUUGUUAGUUCGUAAUCAUAGCUGGUUACUGCCUUGUGGGCAUUGUGCGAGUUCAACUUAGUUGUAUAUUCUCUUGGAAGUAAUAGUUUAAUCGAGGAUGAAUGAGAACCUUUUAAAAUGAAUAAAAAGUAGGUUUAUUCAUUUGAAGCAUAGUACAGAUUAUGUGAAGGGAUUUGUAUCAUGCUUACUGACUCGAAAUCCUUGUUGUUAGACUUAAGCUGUGAAUUGUGACAAGUAUGGAUGACAUUUUUGAGGAUCUAAACUGGUAGAUCCUUUUUGUAUAAAUAUGCUUUAUUAAUUUGGUUUUGUUGCAGGUUUUCCCGGAGUGUAGCAGCCAUGAGUAUUAUCGGCCACAUUCUGGGCCUAGGUGAUAGGCACUUGGAUAAUGUCCUUAUAGAUUUUUCCACUGGAGAUAUUGUGCAUAUUGAUUACAAUGUGUGCUUUGACAAGGGACAGAGAUUAAAGAUCCCUGAAAUCGUGCCAUUCCGCCUUACCCAGACUAUUGAAGCAGCAUUGGGGCUAACUGGCAUUGAAGGCUCCUUUAGGGCGAACUGUGAGGCUGUUUUAGGUGUUUUGAGGAAGAAUAAGGAUAUAAUAUUGAUGUUACUGGAUGCUUUUGUGUGGGACCCACUCGUGGAAUGGACACGUGCAAAUUUUCAUGAUGAUGCAGCCGUGGUUGGCGAGGAAAGAAAGGGCAUGGAGCUUGCUGUAAGCUUAAGCCUAUUUGCAUCGCGCGUCCAAGAAAUCCGCGUUCCUUUGCAGGUUUGCAUAAAUAAGAACCACUGUCUUCAACAUGGAUCAUCUCAAAACAUUAGCCUAACAUUUAAGUAAAUUGGAAUUUUGAUGACUUCUGUAUUUUGAAGAAAAAUCUUAGUUUUGGAGGUUUUUAAUCUGUGAAUACUAGAGGCAUGUUUCUCGGUACUGCACUCAAAUAUGUACACUUGAUAACAAUGAGCAACGAGAUUGUUGUAGUAAUUUCUAGCUGGUUCGUUUACUAUUAUAGAUAAAAUUGUUUGUUAGUGAUGGAAGUCUCUGGAAUAUGUCUGCCAAUUUUUCUUUCUGGAGAUUUGACACAAAGCAAUGUGUUAUCUUAAUUUGAAACUGACUUAUUGUCGCUUUUAAUGUUGCCAGGAACAUCACGAUCUUUUACUCUCUAAUUUACCAGCAAUUGAAUCAGCCAUGGAGGUUUGUUACUAUUGUCACCAUAUUGUUCUAUCUCAAGUUCUAUGAAUUAUUUGAACUUACCUGAGUUUUAAAUCAUGUUAGGGGUUCACCAGCAUUUUAAACCAGUAUGAGAUUGUAUCGAGUCAUUUCUAUCAUGCUGACCAAGAGCGGUCUAACCUUGUUCAGCACGAGUCAUCUGCAAAAUCGGUUAUUGCUGAAGCUACUAGUACUUCUGAAAAAAGCCGUGCCUUGUUCGAAAUACAUGUUUUAGAAUUCACUCAGGAACAGGCUAUAGUAGUGGAGAAAGCUCGAGAGACAGCAACCUGGAUUGAGCAUCAUGGGAGGAUUCUUGACGCUUUAAGGAGUAGUUCAAUUUCAGAAAUUAAAGCCCAGAUAAAGCUGACUGGUUCAGAGGAAGCUUUGUCUCUUUCGUCUGCUGUUAUAGCGGCUGGAGUUCCAUUAACUGUAGUUCCUGAACCCACACAAAUUCAGUGCCACGACAUCGAUAGAGAAGUUUCUCAGUUAGUAGCUGAGCUGGAUCAUGGGCUUUCUUCAGCAGUUGCUUCACUCCAAAUGUAUUCAUUGGCUCUGCAGAGGAUCCUACCUUUGAAUUACCUCACAAGUAGCCCAGUCCAUGGUUGGGCACAAAUUUUGCUAUCUUUGAACAAUGUAUCAUCUGAUGUUAUAGCAGUUGCCCGAAGGCAGGGUGCUGAACUUGUCAGCGAUGGACACACUUAUAAAUUAGACUCUGCUAAGAGCAAUUAUGAUGAUCUUUGCUUCAAGGUGACAAAGUAUGCUGCAGAUAUAGAGAGAUUGGAGAAAGAGUGCGCAGAACUUGCGAUCUCCAUUGGCCCACAGACUGAAUCAAAAACCAAGGAGCGUCUUUUAUCUGCUUUCAUGAACUACCUGCAUCGUGCAGGUUUCGAGGGGAAAGAGUCAUCCAUUCUUUCAGGACCAGGGGUGCAUGAAGGAACAGUGAACACCAUGCUUCAUGGGGAGAUUGAAGAGAAGAAAGAAAGGUUUCGAAAUGUUUUAGAUACAGCAUUGAUCAAUCUGUUUUCUGAUGUAAAGCGCAGAAUACAUAAUUGUAUGGAUUACUUUGGAGGGGAAAUAAAUACAAACAGAAGCUCGCGGUCGGAUCUUGGAUCCUUUUUUUGUGAGUUUGAAGCGCAGAUAGAAAACUGUGUACUCCUAACAGAGUUUCUUGAUGAGCUAAAACAGCUUGUCGGCCUAGAUGUUAGUGACACUGAUGCAGAUGCAAAUAGUUCUAAUGCGUCACAUGGAAGCUGGGCUUCUAUUUUCAAGACUAGUAUUUUAUUUUGUAAAAACCUUGUUGAGAAUGUGACUGAAGUAGUUAUACCCAGUGUGAUAGAAUCUGUUAUUUCAUCCAAUUCUGAUGUUAUGGAUAUCUUUGGAUCCAUCUCCCAAAUUCGGGGAUCUCUAGACACAACACUCGAUCAGCUUAUCGAGGUUGAGCUAGAGAGAGUUUCUCUGGUUGAACUUGAGUCUAACUACUUUCUGAAAGUAGGUCUGAUCACUGAACAACAGUUGGCUCUUGAGGAAGCUUCUGUCAAGGGUAGAGAUCACCUAUCCUGGGAAGAAACUGAGGAGCUUGUAUCUCAAGAAGAAGCUUGUAGAGUGCAAUUGGACAAAUUGCAUCAGGCAUGGAACCAGAAAGAUCUGCGAAUUUCAUCACUUAUGAAGAAAGAAGCAAAUAUCAGUAGUAGUCUGGUGAGUUCUGAACGCCAGUUGCAAUCUCUCAUUACUACUGAAGAAGAAAAUGAAUCACAUAUCUUGAGAAGAAAAACACUUCUGGCAGCCUUAGUUGAGCCUUUCUGCGAGUUGGAAUCUGUUGAUCAAGCAAUGAUGUUAUCUGUCGGACCUGUUUCAUAUAGCUCAAUUAGAAUUCCUUAUCUUGUUGACUCGAUAAACUCAGGAUGCUCAAUAUCUGAGUAUAUAUGGAAGUUUCCUGGUUUACGACGCAGUCAUGCCUUCUUAAUUUGGAAGGUUUUUAUGGUGGAUCUUUUGCUUGAUUCCUGUACACAUUAUAUGGCUACAUCAUUUGAUCAAAAUUUAGGAUUUGAUCAACUUCUUGAUGUAGUAAAGAAAAAGGUUAGAAGCCAAUUUCAGGAGCAUAUCAGUAAAUACUUGAAAGAUAGAGUUGCUCCAACUUUUUAUACCAGAUUAGACAGAGAAAUAGAGAUUCUGAGGCAGAGAACAGAGUCAGGUAAAGAUAUUUCAACUGAUGAAAUUCAAAAGGAUUUUGUGGAUGUUAGAAGAGUGCAACUCAUGCUUGAAGAGUACUGCAAUGCGCAUGAAACUUUCAGAUCGGCAAGAUCAGCAGCCUCCAUCAAGAAAAAGCAGGUUAAUGAACUUCAAAACGUACUUCUCAAGACCAGCUUGGAAAUUGCUCAGAUGGAAUGGAUGUACAAUAUCACCUUGAGACCCUUGGAAAUUGAUAGGCUGAUUUCUCAUAAAUUUUGUGCAAAUGAUGAUAACUUAUUACCAGUUAUACUCAACACCAAUAGGCCAAAAUUGCUUGAGAGUACACGAUCUUCAGUUGCACAAAUAGCAAGGUCACUGGAACGCCUGCAAUCUUGUGAAGGAAUUUCUGUCACAGCAGAAGGGCAGCUUGAGAGGGCAAUGAGCUGGGCUUGUGGGGGUCCGAAUUCUAGUUCUUCCGGAAAUGUUCAAGCUAGAAAUACAGGAAUACCUCCUGAAUUUCAUGAUCACUUAAUUAAGCGGCGAAAGUUGUUCCUGGAAGCUCGAGAAAAUGCAUCAGACAUAAUGAAAGUUUGCAUCUCUAUGUUGGAGUUUGAGGCUUCAAGAGAUGGCAUGUUUAGGUCUACAUAUGAAAUAUCUCCUCUGAGAACUGGAGCAGAUGGUGGAAUGUGGCAACAGUCUUACCUAAAUGCAAUAACGAAAUUGGAUGUUACCUAUCAUUCUUUUAUACGUCAGUAUAAUGUCUUUUUCUUUGUCCAAAAUUGCAGUACAAGUCAAUACAAUCUUACCGACUACUCUGUCAAGUUCUCAUUGUUUACUCGUCUUUUUCCUACAGGGGCUGAGAAAGAAUGGAAGCUUGCACAACACAAUAUGGAAGCAGCUUCUAGUGGUCUAGUUUCUGCAACUAAUGAACUUUCAAUUGCUUCAGUAAAAGCAAAGUCAGCAUCAGGUGAAAUGUUAAUCCAGUAAAGAUGACUAAGCAACCAACUCUACAUAAUGAUAGCCAGUACCCGAAAUAUUUGGAUAUUAAUCUUAAAAAGUUUUUAUAUAACCGCUUCUGCUCUUAUAGAUUAUUUCGAAAAUGUGAUUUUUGUCUUCUUUCACCCUGCUCUAUUUUUUAAUUUAUAUCAGGUUAUAAGCAGCCACCUGACUUGACAGUUCUCAACUUCUAGUAAAGUGAAAAAUCGACGCCUGAUGUUUCUCUUACUUUUUUUUGUCAAUUUUGGUGUCAUAAAUGGAGAGAUCUUAAUCUCCUCAGUAUAAUGAACUUGUAGUAGAUUUUUCAAAUGACAUGAUUUAAGAUCCUUGGCAUCUUGUAAGAUUAUCAAAAUACUCAAUUGUUAAAUCUUGACUGAGUGCACGUUGGAGUGCUGAUUCAAUAACCAUUUCCUGUGUAUCGCUGAGAAAUUUUGCAGAAUUGUUAGGUUAUAAGGCACUUCAUGAGUUAUUAGUGGCUUUAAUAUGUCCGAGUUACAGUUGUUCAAUUUCAUCUGGUGCAGAUGAUUUGCAGAGCACACUUCUUGCAUUGAGGGUCUCUGCCCAUGAAGCCAGUGUUGCAUUAUCUUCAUACAGGGACAUUAUUGGAAGCCAUAGUGCGCUGACUUCUGAAUGUGGUUUCAUGCUUGAAGAGGUAUGUAAUGUCUUUUUAAGAAUUGCAGGUCUAUGAUAUUGAUUUGAGUCGAGUGUUAAGUGCCAAUGAAAAGUAAAAGUAAAAUAUUGGCAACGAAAGAUACUCUAUAAAAAUUAACUAACUAUUGACAAUCAACUUCAGGUGAGUUCAUGAAUAUUCCAUCAAUAUGACCCACCUUUGCACUAGCUCCAAUCGAGUGUUUGGCAUAUAAGUCUGACUCUGGAUAACAUAAACAUGCUUUGACAUAUAGUGGCCAUUGGCAUUUCAGCUGCCAUUUUCAAUAUGUUUUUAAAUACUAGUUGGUCUGAAGAAAUGGAAACUGGCAAUCAGUUUCAUUUUAUACUUGUUGUUUAGGUUAAGAGGGAUUCUCAGCAGUUUAUGUUCAAGUUAGAUAGGUUGUAAGAUAUGUGAGAAGGUGCUGUGAUUUGGUUCUUAUUAUGCACACGGAGUGACCUUUCAUUAGCAUAAAUGGAAAGACAGUUCUGCAUUUUCAUCAGAAAGUGUAAACACAAGCUGGUACAGGGUAUUAGCCAUUCAUCCUGCAUCUUUAUAGCUCCCAACUGAUGUAUUCAUGCUCUCUUAUUCAGUUUAAAUUAUAAAACUAUGAAAUGACGUUGAUAAGCCGAUUGGCAGUUUUAUUUCAUCUUGUUUGCCCUUGAACACAAUUGCUAUGGAUGGGGACCGAGAUAAAUACACACAACACAUAGUACAGAAACACACACCCUGAAGAAUGAGACAGAUUGUAUGCUAAUAUUGGAGUCUGUUCGCAGGUCUUGGCUAUAACAGAAGGAUUGCAUGAUGUUCACAAUUUGGGGAAAGAGGCUGCCGUCUUACACUCUUCUCUUAUGGAAGAUCUUUCAAAGGUACACUGUUGUGACUAAUAGUUUCUUUUGCUUGUUCGGUUGCUAAUUCUCUUUUGUAUAAUUAAGUGAAGACCGUAUUACGUUUAACUGGUCAUUCAUUGCAACCUGAAUAGGCUAAUGCAGUCCUCCUCCCACUUGAGUCCCUACUGUCGAAGGACAUUGCUGCUAUCACUCAUGCUAUGGAUAGAGAAGAAGAGAACAAAUUGGAGAUUGCGCCCAUUCAUGGACAAGCCAUAUUUCAGUCUUAUCAUAAUAGAGUCAAGGAGGCUUUACGACUGUUCAAGCCUUUGGUUCCAUCUCUUACAUUGUGUGUCAAGGGUCUUUACUCCGUGCUGACCAUGCUGGCGAAGGCUGCAGGUCUUCAUGCUGGCAAUCUUCACAAAGUAAUGAUAUGGAUACAAUUGUUAUUAACUGCAUGAUUUGUGGUAUAUUCUAUGUACUGAUACUAGGCUAUUUUUUUUUUAUUAUCCAGGCUCUCGAAGGAGUAGGUGAAAGCCUGCAAGUUAAGUCACAGGACAUUGAUCCGUUGAGGGCAGAUGUUACCGGGGCUGGACCUGAGUAUGAUGAUGCCCAGGAGAGUCGCAUGUUUAUCAGAUCUGAUGGUGAAAAUGAUGGGAAUUCUGUUGGUUCAGGUGAACUGGCUUUACUAGAUAGUGGAUGGAUAUCUCCACCAAUGAGCAUCACUAGCAGCACCACAGAGUCGGGUGAUACAUUUGCUGAGGCAAGUCUUGCAGAUAGCUUCAGUAAUCGUGAUGUGACAGGUGGCUCUGCAAGCCAGGAGAAAGGAGAUUCUCUGGAUUACCUUACAUCAAAUGUGACUGAAGUAUUGGAAUCGCCCAUUGGGGAAACAGAUUCUGAAAAUAAGCAGGUUUUUAAUAGCUAUGCUAUCUGUCAUGGAAUUUUUAUAUGUGUCCUUUUCAGAUGAUUUAUUUUGCAGUACCUAUAGACCUCUCUUCUUUUUUAUCAGGAAAACUCGGAUUUGGUGCAUAAAGAUGCAGAACCUGUGUUAAACCAAGACAAAACUGAGGAAGAAUUAGGGAGAGCCUUCACUAAUUUGGAGACUGUCAGUCAAUCACACACGGGUAAGCUAAAUUCUUCCGCUGAAAGUAUACUGUAACUUCCACUUUUAAACUUCAACUUAGCUUACUUGCAGUAAACACUGCAUAUGGAACAAUGUUUAGUUUGAGGUUUGCAAGUUAGUAUUUAGACACGUUUAAUGUAUUUUGACAUAUGUUCAUGCACAUGAAGAUGCCCACAACAGAAAAAAAUCUGAUGCCCUCCCAACCCCAAUCUCCAUCUCCAAAGACGCACACACACACACACACACACAUAAUACAACAUAAAGAACCUCCAAGGUUUUAUAAAUUAUGCAACUUCAGUUGAGUACUACCUUGUCUGAAUUACUUUUUUCCCGCAUAUGCUUUGAAAUUUUACUAAAAUGCAAGUUUGGGGCGUGCAGGCAAAAAUGCUUAUGCUGUAUCACUCUUAAGGCGUGUAGAGAUGAAACUUGAUGGCCGAGAUAUCAGUGAUAACAGGUAUCUGCUUCUUUUUUAGUAAUGCAUGGUAAAAUAUGUGUCGGUAAACUUGAUGUAUUGACAUGCUGUGCUAAUAUGUGUCUCUCAGGGAAAUUAGCAUAACAGAGCAAGUAGAUUUUCUGCUCAGGCAAGCAACAAAUAUCGAUAACCUUUGUAAUAUGUACGAAGGUUGGACGCCUUGGAUUUAAUCCCAGGAAAAAAAGACUAUUCGUUUGUGCCCCCACUAAGUCUUCCAUGGAGCACUCCAAAGAAAUGCCUUCUCUAUCGAUGGAACAUAUAUUGUUCAAGGAGGUUCUUAUAUGGAGGCAAUGCUGUUCUGGAUUGGAAGAUUCUAGUACAGGCAGAUAAAGAUUGGAGGGCUCCCCAUGGAACAAAUUCAGCCCGUCUUGUGGUGGGAAAUGUUCUAAAGAAAGUGUACUGUGCCCUUAUCAGUCAUUUCACGUUGUUCCCCAUUCGGAAAAAAAAGGGUUGAGAUUGUAUCGGCUGGAGAUGCUGUGUCGGGAUUGUGAAGUGCAUAAUCAACUUGGGUGAAAUGAAGGGCUCACAAAGUUAACGAGCGAAUGUGCGAUACAUCGAGAUGAUUGAAGCAUUUGAAGUCCUUUUUCCUUUGAAUAUUGUGAUAAUCAAGUUGCUCCUGUGCAUUGUAUGUGAUUGGUUCUUGAUCACUCAGUUUGAAAAAAGAAAUAAGACAGUAACUUAUAUUCUUCGUUGUUUUACCGUGUCGAGCGGAGACUAAUUUAUUAGCAAUCUAUAAAAUAUAGUUUUCUAGUUGCUCUGAUUUAUUUCUCAAGAGAAAAAAUAAGAUGCAAAUUAUUUAUAAAAUUCAAGAAUAUAAAAUAAAUAUACUUUGGAGUUGCGGGGAAUCGAACCCCGUGCCUCUCGCAUGCGAAGCGAGCGCUCUACCAUAUGAGCUACACCCCCUUUGUCAACGUUGUCUCAGUAGUAUAUUUAUUGAACAUAUUCAAUAAGUUUACCUUGAUAGAAAAAUCUUUAGUCAAGCAUCACUGUGUAUAUCACAUUAUGGAGGCUAGCCACUCAAUUUUGAUUGCCUUACAAUGUUGACUUAUUGACCAAUAAUAUCUGUAUAGUAUGUAUUCCCCCUUUUUUUCUCUCUUCUUUUAUUCCUUUUCCUUUUUCUUUGCCAACUCAUCACUGCCAAAAAACAAGCAAGAUAUUUUGCUUCCCUUUGGGCCAAUUGAAGUGUUUAUUUUUGUCCUUUUUAUUACAACCACCAAAACAAAUGAAUGGACUGUGAAUCUUUAGACAUACACAUAUGGUCAUUCUCUAACCACUCAUCACACACCAUUUCUUUUUUACCUUCUGCAAUACACACUUACAGUGAGAUAAAAAAAAAAUGCCGAAUCUAUUUUCCGGAAUAUUCUCGGAACGUUACACGUUACAAGUAGGGCCUCCACACACUGAUAUUUUUGAUACACCACCACACAACUCCUUUGCCCUCAAUGCCAUCAUGUAUCUAUAUAUAAAGCAGAACCAAUGCACUUCAAUGUUCAUCAAUCUUUACAUCCAUAUAUAUAAUAUUCCAUCAAGAAUUCAAGAAAAGAAAGAAAAAAUAAAUGGCAGCUGUAGCUGACGUGUGCAUGGGAGAGUUAGCAAAGCUAAGCGAAAAAGUCCGAGCAAGAAAUCUGUUCUCGUUGAAAUUCUCGAAAAGGGAAGCUACUCACAAAGUAGGAGAGACCAACGAGUCGAAAGAUGCUAAUGCCACCAGAUGCGAGGAUACUAUGGCGGAAACAACCGUUUUACUGCUCAUAGAUCGGUGGUGCGCCCCCUGUUAAGAAUUCAAGAAACUCGAUAAUAUUAUCGCUGAAUUGUUAGUUCAUGUAAUGAAAAAAUAUAUACCAAUGUAUGUAUAUCUUUGUGUAAGAAUGUUUCUCUAGUAUAUGUAAUAUAUGAAGAAGCUUUACUUUCAAUUUCAUUAAAAAUAGGGUAAAUUACAACCACCCCUGAGGAACGGUCAAAUUACGAAAAAACCCCUCUUGUUUGGAUAAUUGCAUCUACCCUUCAACUAUGAUUUUUUCAUAGACCUCCACCCUUAUGGUGUCAAAUUCAACAUAAUCAUCUAGAUUCCAUGAAAUGUGUGCUCUAAUUUGUACUCGUUUUGUGUAAAAAUACAGUUUCUGAUGCACCACAAUAUGAUAUAUACAAGCCAAAAAACACAUCUUAUGAUCAUCUUGCUUUAAAAUGUGGAACUCAAAUGGGAUAAAACGGAUACAAAAGUGAUAAUAUUCCAUAUAAUCAAAAAGAUUCCACUAAAUUUGAAACCGCAAGAGUGGACGUGUAAGAAAAUUUAUAGUUGAGGAGACUUAUUGUAAUUACCCAAAUAAGAGGGGAUUUUCUUAAUUCUACCGUACCUCAGGGGUGAUUGUAAUUUACCCUUUAAAAUAUAACCAUGUUCUUACAAAUAUGGAUAUUGUUCUUACACCUUUUCACAGAUACCUUUACAACUUCAUCACACACAUUUGACACAAGGCCUAAUAUCUUCAUAGCCAUGGUCAUAUUAUUUGACCAGAAAUUGCAAAUGUGUGUAUAUAUAUACAUACAUAAUAUAUAUAUGCUUGAUUUUUCAGGGAGAUGUGCUAGGCUCUGUGCUAUCACUGGACCACUCAUUCAUAUCAACAGUAUGUUUUUCAUCGGCCCACUUCACAAUCUCUUUACCGUAUCUAAGCGCUUUAUCGAUGCUAUCAGCCUCCAAUCCAGUGGCCCGUGACACAAACAAUUUCCGGCCCGUUAAAGAGCUGAACACACUUUUGAACUUCAAUGCAAUAUAAUGAAAAGCCCGUUCAGCCAGAGGUGGGUUGUUGUUACUUUUGGAACUGUGCGGAUGAAGGCUGAAAACGGGGUUGAAAUCGUGAAACCAUUCGCAUUGUGUUAGAGGAGAUUGUUCGAUCUUUUCUUCUAGAAGGUCGAACUUGUUGAGUAUGAGAAGGAAGUCUUUCUCAUGCAGAGAUGGAUGAGUGGCGAUGCACUCGAAGAGUGUCCUGGCUGCCAGCAUCUUGUUUGUGCGGGUCCCGUUUAUGUCUUCGUAGUAUUCGUCGUAUUCUGUUAAGGAGACGCAGUAUAGGACAAGGUCAACAUCUUCGAACAUUUCCAACCAUUUGCAGUUUUCUCCGAGGCCGCUUGCAUGUACUCUAAUGAGCUGGUAUCUGCAAGAAAAUGUCAAAUAAGUCGAUUUUAGAUUUUAAUAUAUUAAAAAAAAAAAAAAUUAAAAAAAAAAAAAAAAAAAAAAAAAAAAAAGGACUCACUUUAAUGAUUGGUUGUUUUGAUCCGAAGAUUCCAUGUACUCAUCUUGAGAAGACUUUGGAAAGGAAAAUUCCAUAGAUGCAAUUCCGUUGGAAGAAGUUAUGCCCUCGGCGUAUAAGAUAUCCAUUUCGGAUGGCUCAUAGUCUAUCCGUGAAAUUUCAACAGCCUAUUUUUUUUUUAAAUAGAAAAGAAGCUUAUUAUCACGAAAUUGAAUGAAAUGAAAUGAAAUGAAACAUCGUAAAGAAAUAUUGUGGGGCAUAAAACGUACAUGAUCCAAGAAAUAAUUAGCAACUCUUGGCAGCAUGUGCAGUUCGUUCCUCCGUUUGUAAAUGGCUUGAAAAGCUCCGUCUUUCCACAACUCUUCGACUAAAUGUGAAUACUCUCGAGUGGCGGCUGGGAAUAUGGCAUCUAAAUUGCCUGAAGCCAUAAUUUGGAUUAGCCAACUCGAGAAAGCCUCAAGCUUUGGACUGAGGGACAAAACUGUCUUUUCAUCAACCUGGCAAGAAUUACCUGCCACAUAUAAACGACUUUUAGAAUCUUCGGAUGGCAAGAAAUUUUGGUUUUGGUUUAUUAUAAUAACCAGGAUAUCACUUUUUAUCGAAUUUAUCUGCAUAAGUCCCACUUUCUUAAAGUUAUUCACAAAAUCACAAUUUAAAUUUAAACUUUUCGAAUUUAAUUACGCGUGUACCUGAAGGACCAGACUCAUUACUAUUUUGUUUCUGCAUCUCUAUCAAACGAUCUUCUUCGAAGAUCUCACGCCCCUCGAGAAGUAUCCCGAUGUAUCUGUACAAAUUUCUUUGAAUCACGACUUUGAUGCUUUGCUUCUCGUCUUCUGAAAAAGGCACAUUAUACAGAAUUUUCGCCUGAAACCAACAAAUAGUUAAACAGCUUCAGUAUUUUUAUCCAAAAAGUGAAAACAAAAUUUGGUUUUUGCAACAUAGUAGUAGAAAAGAAAACGGAUGCUCCUAAAACAAAUUACAUAAUAUACGGCUAGCAAUCCAGAGACUCGCUACUGAGCGAGUUAAAUAAAAUUUAAGCCCGUCUCAAAUUAUUACAAGUAUUAGCAGAUGCAUACACAAAAGAAGCAGCCAUAUAUAUAUGCUCAUCAAUUUUGACGUACCUGUUUAAAUAUCGUGCUAGUUCCAGAUUGGUCACAGCCAAUUAGGAGAAGCUUAUUCAUCGUGCUCUGUUCUACGUUUUUCGAAUUAACUUUAUCGUUGUUCUUGUCAACAUCUUCAUUACUAAGAUUUGCAGUAUCAGAAGGGUACGGCAAAGAUAGAGCAGCACAUAGCAGCCUCACCCUUUUCUGAACAAAAUUAAUUUCCGAGUUUCAAAAUAUUGUAUUUUUUUUUCUUUUCGAGACAAACAACAGCAGCUGAAAAACAAAUGCUUAUUAAAUGGUACCUUGUCCCAUAAUUUUCCCAUUACAUAAUUCAUGCCUUCAUGCUGGUACGAUCCAUCUGGCGUAACCCAAAAAUGUGUAUUUCCUUCACAGUGAAUUCCAGCAGCCUGCAAGAAUCAAACAAAAACGUCAUAAUUAAAAAAAUAAAAAUUAAAAAGUUUAAGGAUAAACAAACAAACCCUCAACAUCCAGAGUUCUUCGGUAGUAAUCUCUCGACUAUUUAUCAGCACAUUCGUAUUCCCAUUACUAGCAUCUUGCCUAAUUUGAUAACCAACAGGCAAUAAAGCACUAAUAAUCUGGCUCGGCUUCUCUCCAUCCUGCUUCAUUGAACCAAAAGUAUUAUUUUCCGAACAAUAAAAAUAAAAAGGAUAAACCCGACAUAAAUGAUUUAAAAAUUUCAGAAGUUUCACCUUCCCCCAAAAUCCCGACAUCUUAUCGUACCAAUAUUUCCCUGGUCGGAUCUUCUUCGGAGGAUUAGGGCAGCUCUGCAACAUAACCAACUCUUCCAUCGAAAGAGCCCUAUCGUUUACGUAGAUAAGCUGCGGCGGCAGCUGAUUAACUUCACAUGUCAUCUCCGAGCACAUGAUUUGCUUAAUCGCAUCGUCCGUGAGAAGCUUCCGCAGCAUUCUAGAAGGUUUCCCGAUUAAUUCCCUUUUCGACUCGUCAAUUCUAUAACCGACGCAAGUAAUGCAUUUCCUCCCUUCUUGCAUACACCCCAUUGCUCUGAGCACACACUUACUGCAGUACUUAGCCCCACACACAAUGCAGAUUUCCUUCUCCGAAAACCGAUUUUUUUUACGACACCUAUGGCACAACCCUUUCUUCAACUCGUCGGAAAGCACCGGCUUUUCCGGAAAGAUUGCAGUGGGCACACCAUCAUGAUCACUAUCUUCAGACACUAAAUCAUCAUCAUCGGUCAAUGGCAAGUCUUGGUUCGAAUUGGAAGCGGUGGGGUUCGGGCAAUGAGCAUACGAAACAUCGGAGCUUUCCGACAAGUGAUUCGAUUCAUUGAGACCAUCGGAAAAACCUAGAGUACCGGAACUAGUAGAACUUUGAGCUCCGUUUCUGUCUGCUAUUUCUGGUGUGAGAUCAGUUGGCGGUACCUUUUUCGAGGUGUGAUCGCUAGUUUGGGCAAUUGGUUGAACAACUCGUAGGCACAAAUUAUUGGCCGGCAAAGAACUACCUGACGCCACCGUGGCGGUCGGAAUCCGGCGAAGAUCCACCGGAAACACUUGGGGAAUAUCCCGAUUGAGUGGAGGGCCACUGUACUCCACGGCGAAUGAGUACUGCGCACUAAAAUCAUCGUUUUUUGGUAAAUUGCUCCUCAAAACACUGGGCAUCUUAAUUUAAACCACCUAUAUCUCCCAGAUUCUUGAAAAUUGAUUAAAACCCAGAAGAUUAAUUCAACAGAUGAAAAACCCCUAAUACAAAAUUGAUUGACCUAAAAAUUCAGUGAAAACCAUAAUUUUGAAAAUGGAGGUUUUCUGGUCGUACGAGUGGUGUGUGUGUGUGUGUGUGUGUGGAGAAGACUUGGUGAGAUUUGAGACAUGGGUGGGAAGACUUGGAAACACAAAAGACUGAUUCUUUGAUCCAAUUUUCAAUCACCCAAUUUUCUUCAUCAACGCGUUUGUCGAUUGCAAGAAAUUUGACUCCAACCAUUUUUUUAUUUAUUUUUUUAAUUUUUUUAUUUGAUGACCAAUCACCAAUCAACGAGAGGCUGUUUCAGAAAUUAUACUUUUAUAUUAGUACGUAAAUGGAGACGCAUGCAGUUAUUAUUUUAUAUUUAUGGGUAAAUUUCAGCCACCAAGUUACGUAAUAUUAAAUUACGAAAAAACCAUUAUAUUUUGACAAUUAUAAUUAAUUUUCGCACACGUGUGGUCUCGUAAUUUAACAUAAUCUUUUAAAUUUUGUGGAAUAAUCUCUAGUUUGUACUCAUUCAAAAAUGCAGUUUCAGAUGUACUACAAUCUGAUAUUUACAAACCAAGAGACACAUCUUAUGAUCAUUUUGCUUUAAUAUGUGGAGCUCGAAAUAAAUCGGGUGUAAACUGCAUUAAAUGGUUCUUUCGUAAUUUAACAUUAGCUCAGGGGUGUUGACCGUAAUUUUCCGUAGAUUUUUUUUUAAUAGUUACUUUUUUUUAUUCAUUGGAGAUUGUAACACACAAUAGAUAAAUAUAAAUCACAUUAGACUUAUGUCACUAUACGUAAUGAACUCGAUCAAAAUCGACGGAAUUUAGAAAUAAAGUUCGACUUCGCACCACUAAUUUACCUCAUAAUUGAUAUAAUAAUAAUAAUAAUAUAACGUCAGCAAGACUUAUAAAACACGUAAAUAGAAUAUAAAAGUUUUGGUAGAUCAUUUUCAUUUACACAAUCACACAUAUUAUAAUAGUGGGAUUAUUUGACUUAUUCCCAGCAUUGAAAAUAUAAUUAUGGAAAUUGGAAAAGAUGAUGGUGGGAUAUAUGGGCUUCACACUAGCAACUAUUCUUGUUUUUGUUUCAAAUAAACAAGAAUAAGUUAUAAAAAAAUAAAAAUAAAUAAAAUAAAAGAAUAAUGCAUAUCCCAUUAAAUAAUUGGGGGGAGAUGUUCUAAUCAACUUUCCUUGAAGUUUUGGGCCUCGGCUCAAAAAAAUAACUUUAUUUAACCCAAUUGGCCCAUGAAAUUUAUGAAUCUCGACACCAAAUUACAAUGAAGCAAUGUCUUUUUAGAUAAGGCCCGUAAAUCUGGGCGCUUGAAGACGUGCAGAAUUUCUGACAACUUCAAUAGAUUGAGUAAGGAAGAUCUUGAUGAUAUCUUGAUCAAAAUGUUGAUUAGAAUAUCGCGCACAGCGUUGAACGCAGAACAAUAUUAAUUUUAUUAAUUAAGAAAAUCAUAUUUUCUUGUCGGUUUUGCGAGCCUCAUUUACUUGAUUCGGAUCACAUAAACCUCGAAUUGGGUGAUAUUUGGUAGAAAUAUAUUGACUAUACAAUAUAUGAUUUAAUUAAUUUAUUGGGUCCAUCUAAACAAAAGAUUAUUAAAAAUGAAAACAAGAUUGUAUUUUAAUGUGUAAAUAAUAAAAUAUUGAAGAUAUAUAGGGAUGGCAACGGGUCGGUUCUGGGCCGGGUUUGCCUAAACCCAAGACCCGACCCACGAAAAAUAUAUAAACCCAAGACCCGCCCCAACCCGCUUAAGCUUAGACCCAGACCCGCCCCAACCCAAACCCUAACUAAACGGUUCCGACCCGCCAGACCCGUUAGACCCAUUAACAUACAAAAAGUUUAAUAUUUUUUAACUUUCAUAACAUUUUGCUUGUAUAUUUUUACGAAAUAAUCUCAAUACUAAAAUACAAUAUUUUAAAAAAUCUCUUCAAGUGUCAUAACAUGAACAAUAAAAUUACAAUUAAUUAUAUUUAACUUCGAUAAUACGUAAAACUCAAAAUGGAAGACAAUUAGCGGUGGUCGACAAGUCAUAAAUAUUACUCACGAGAAAUGAAAAUCGAAAAAUAAAACAGUGAAAAUAGGUAAAUGAGAAUAGACAAGAUGGAAAUUGAUAGUUUGAUAAAUGAAAAUCGAAAUUAUAUAUAUAUAUAUAUAUAUAUAUAUAUAUAUAUAUAUAUAUAUAUAUAUAUAUAUAUAUAUAUAUAUAUAUACGGGUCGGUUCCGGGUCGGUUCCAAUAAGACCCGUAACCCGACCCAGAACCAUCCGGUUCUAGAAUCUUAAACCCAUUACCCGCCCCAGAACCAUUUAGCUGACCCAAACCCGCCCCAAACGGGUCGGUUCCGGGUCCAAGACCCGCCAAACCCGUACCCAUUGCCAUCCCUAGAUAUAUAUACGUGACAAAUAAACCAAACCAAACCAAACCAGAUCCACAAUUACUACUCAUAAUUACAUAAUUAAUUAAUUCACCAAAAUAAACAUUCAGUUUUGUAAAGUAAACUGUCUGUAUGUAUGUAUAUACAUAGACAUUAGAUACACACAUGAUAAAAUAAAAUAAAAUAAAAUCUCUAAUGUUAAGUCACAAUCUAUCAGGACCAUAGUAUUUUUCCCCAUUACUUCAUUUUUCUAACCUUUACGUAAAAUUUUAUCAUUGUACUUGCAUUUGCAUGUGUGAACCCGCGUGACCAAACGCGCCAGCUCUUUCUGUCUUGUCUUUGUCAUGUCAACCACUUCUGCCACCUUCUACGGCGGCGCGUUUCAACGACGCGCUUCUUGCUCCUAGCUCUACCUACUCUUCCGACACACUCCAAACCUUAACGCUCUUGUCCAAACUUCCACUGUAAACAAUCCACUUCUUGUUGUCCUCACUUUCGUCCUCCUCCUCAUCCUCCGCCGCCGCCACGGCCAGGCACUUCACCGGACCGGUAUGCCCAGUCAGCACCGCCAGGAACGAGUGCCCACCGCCGCCGUCCCUCCGCCACACGCAGAUACUUUUAUCCGCCGAUCCACUCAUCACCAAGCUCCCGCCCACCGCCAGACAAAGAACCGCCUGCUUGUGUCCCCUGAGAACGCCGCCGUGGAGCAUGAAGUGCUUAUCCCUCUCCCAGAAGCUCACCAGCCCGUCGGAGGACCCCGCGUAAAGCGCCCCCGCCGACGCGUCACUCACCGCCAGCGANNNNNNNNNNNNNNNNNNNNNNNNNNNNNNNNNNNNNNNNNNNNNNNNNNNNNNNNNNNNNNNNNNNNNNNNNNNNNNNNNNNNNNNNNNNNNNNNNNNNUAUUCGAAUGUUAAUGUCUUAGCAAUAGUCUGAUACUAUAUAUAUAUAUGUCUUACUAAUUUUUUUUUAAAUUAGAAAAGUAAUAUUAUUCUUUUUUAUUUUUUAUUAAUAAUAUCUAUUAUUAUAUAUUAUUAAUAUGUAUUAAAAAAAUAUAGGAAAAAGGUAAAGCUCGCGAACCGGCUCGCGAGCUGUCGAACAACUGAAAUGAAGCUCGAGCUCGACUCGUCAAAAAGCUCGGGCUCGUGAGCUCGAGCUCGAGCUCGAUUUUUCGAGCUCGAGUACGAGCUUUUUUCGAGCAAGCUCUGAAAGCUCGCGAGCCGGCUCGUCUCAUUUACACCCCUAUAUAUUAUAUCCAUAAUUAGUUUAUUCUAGCUACAAAAAGAUUUGUUACAUACCUUGUUGCAAUUUGGGACCAACUUCUGCAAUAUCUGCAUCCUUUGAUUAAUUCUCUCUCUUCUUUUCUGGGACAACACACAUGAAUACAUAUUUCAUAACUCUUUUUAAUAUAUGUUUUAUUUAUAAAAAAAUUAUAAAUAACCAUUUUAUUAUAUAUAUAGAAACAAUUAAUAUCUAGUACUAGAUUAAUUGUUUUUGACCUAAAACAUAUAUAGAAAUUAAACAAUUAAACCUAGAUCGAUAUGUAUAUAUGUUUUAGGUCAAAAACAAUAAGACAAAUAUUUGCCAGCUCAACAUACGACAGAAACAAAAAACCUACCUUUUCAGACUGGUUAUGCAUAGCAGCUGCCCUACUUUUGCCUGUCGAAUUUAAGGAUUUCCCAUCACUCUGCAAAUAUAAUCUAGAAUUAUACCAAUUUAUAUAUUUUUUUUACCCAAUUUAUUUAUCAUUUAAAUUAAUUAAUUCUCGUUCGAAUGNNNNNNNNNNNNNNNNNNNNNNNNNNNNNNNNNNNNNNNNNNNNNNNNNNNNNNNNNNNNNNNNNNNNNNNNNNNNNNNNNNNNNNNNNNNNNNNNNNNNAUAUAUAUAUAUAUAUAUAUAUAUAUAUAUAUAUAUAUAUAUUGUGUGUGUGCGCGCGCGCGUUAUGUUGCCGGGUGCCGGCCAUCUCUCCGACUCACAUUAGUUUUGCUGCUGCAGACUCCGGCCCCGCCGUGAUUAGUGCUGGCGGCGGCCGCCCUACUGUGCGGCCACUCCGGGGUGAAUUCCGGCACGUGCUUGGGUUUUUCUUGAUAACCGCGAAUGCUGCUGCUGUAGUUGGUGGUGUCGCAAGCUGGGACUAGGGCGUCAGUGAUGACGGCGGCGGGUAAUUGGUGGUGAUGGUGGUUGCCUCCGUCGCCGGAUUCGCGGAGGCGGCGAUGGCUAGUAAUAAUGGCUUGGUUGACUACAGACUCGAGAGUACCGGCAACGCGUGGCUCUUCCCAACCUGGAACCAAAAUGGGAGGGAGGCUGGGCGGCACCGGUGGAGCGGAGCUGUCGUUGAUAUCCCAACCUGCAGGAAAACAGUGACUCAUUUUUCAGACAAGAUACUUUUCUGCCUUGAUUCUUUUUUCUUUUUUUUUGGUUAAUUAGAGCAACAUUUGUGAUUUAUAGUAGAAAUUAAAUCAGGAAAAUAAUAUAAUUUUAAUUAACAAUAAGGGUAAAUUACAGCCACCUCCCUGAGUUAUAGUCAAAUUACAAAAAAACCCUCUUGUUUGGGUAAUUAAUUACAAUCACCCUCUAAACUAUGAAUCGUCUUACACAUCCACCUUUGCGGUAUCAUAUUUAGUAGAAUCUUCUAGAUUAUGUGGAAUAUUCUCCAGUUUAUAUCAUUUUUACCCCCUUGGAGCUCCACAUUUUGAAACAAGAUGAUCAUAAGAUGUGUCUCUUGACUUGUAAGUAUCAGAUUGUGGUGAGUCGGAAACUGCAUUUUUUCACAAAACGAGUACAAACUAGAGUUAAUUUCACGAAAUCUAUCAGAUUCUUUUGAAUUUGACACUAUAAGGGUGGACGUGUAAGAAGACUCGUUAUUGAGGGGUUGAUUGUAAUUACUCAAACAAGAGGGGAUUUUUCGUAAUUUGAUCAUGCCUCAGAGGGUGACCGUAAUAUACCCUUAAAAAUAAAAUGGGUAAAUUACACCUAUACCCGUGAGAUAUGCUUAAAUAACUAUAAGGUCCAUGUGGUAUCGACAAUUACAAUCACCUCCCUGAAACAUUGUUAGAAACUCUAACGGAAUAAUGCAUUAGCUACGCGAUUCCAAUAGAGUUCUAACGAACUAUUAGUUCAGGAAGUGGUAGAGAAAAUAUCGGAAUUAUGUAUCUAAUGCAUUUUCUCGUUAGAGUUUCUAACAAUAUUUCUGGGGUGUUUGUAAUUAUCGAUACCACAUAAACCUUAAAGUUAUUUUAGCAUACCUCAGGGGUGUAAGUGAAAUAAAAUAGAUAACUAAAUCAGUGAGAGCUAAUUGCUGAUCAUCGGAAAAUCAUUAACAGGACAGAUUUCUAUCAUGCUAGCCGACAAAAACAACAGUUGUCCUUUAAUUAUUCUUUAAAAAAAAAAUAACUAUUAGCCAUAAUUCUCUCUAGUAUUUUUUUAAUAAGGGUGGAUCUACCUAUCUUUUCAAUAUUAGUAAUAGAUCCAUAAUUAUAACAAUAAUAACCCUCUAAUAAUAUGAAUUAAACUAUGAAUUAAAAGACUCAAAAUACCGCAUCGCUAAAAUCACGUUCUCAAUCCCUCAAAUCUCGAACCCACAUAAAUAAAAUACAUAUUCAUAGGUGGUGUUUGCAAAUGCUUUUUGAAAGUGAUUAUGCGGUUUUUUUUGCUCAUAAUCGAGAAACACGACUGAUGCUGCUCCAAAAAUGAUGGGUCAGCCCAAUGGUCUUGAAGCCCACAGGUCUUCUAAGUCCGGGAAUCUUCAAGCCCAAUAUCGGGAAUGCCGAAAGUCCUUGCCACGCGUCCGAGGUAGUCGAAGGGAUCGCUCCACUCGUUAACCUACAAAACAGUUGAAAACACUAGGUGACACGCCGGGGGUGGCCCGGCGAUUGUCCUCCGACGCUCAAGUCAGAAAACUAUCACAAUAUAAGCAAAUAAUAUUAAUUAAUUGCCUAAAUAGUGCUUACCUUGUUAUGUGAUUGAUAACACAUAUUUAUAGGUGGAGUUUGGUAUGGUUUUCUUGUAGAAAACCAAUGUGGGACAAAAAAUUAGAUUUCUUCCCAUAGCUUCUUAUGAGGUUCUUAAUUAAGUGCCUUUGUGUUGGACUUUUCCUUUGAAUGAGCCUCAUGGGCUUUUUGGGUUAAUGCCCAAUUAGGCACAUCAUUAAGCCCCCCACUCCCAGGUUGAGCCACGGGCCCGUGGGUCUGGCUGGGAGUAAUUAGGAAUAGUCGCUCGAAGACGAAAUAAUUUUCUUGUUUUCCUUGAGUUUCAAGGUCGUAGGAAAUUUUGAAGUCGGCUACAGGGAUCUUGCAGAGGCGGGCGCUGCAGUUAGGUGAUGAUAAUUUAUGAAGGGAGGCCCAUUUGUUGUACGGCGGCGAUCAGUCGCCAAAAUUAUUGGAGGAAGUUGUGAUAUCCCUUGGCUUUGUUGCCUAGUGAGAAUCGCGCAUUUCCUAAAGAAUGAGUUAUGUUUCAACUUAUCAUGCGAGACGGUAUCCCUUGGCUAUAUAGCCUAAUGGGGGGUCCAUCUCUCGUAAAGAAUGAGCUUUACUUUAUCUUUUUAGCGGGGCGAAAUCCCUUUGGCUUUAUUGCAUAGUGGGAAGCACGCUUUUCCUAAAGAAUGAGUUAUGCUUCAUCUUUUUCGGUGAGACGGUGUCCCUUGGCUAUAUCGCCUAGUGGGAAGCUCGGCUCUCGUAAAGAAUAAGUUUUUAUUUUAACUUUUUAGGUAAGACGGUAUCCCUCGGCUAUAUCGCCUAGUGGGAAGUCCGUAUUUUUGCACUUGGUGGUUGAUCAGACCCUCAAGAUUUUUAUGCAGGAAGUCUGCCCGUUUUUCUAAGUUUUUUGAGGCGGGUAAGACUUCCCUGAGCUUUAGUUGCUCUAUUUUUUGGAGUUUUGGGGAGCGAGAAACCAAGGUUCGGGUUGGCCAGACUCUUUGUGAUCCUUGAUAUCUUCCCCUAUAGCUAUUUUUUGAGUCAAUUGAUUUUUUGUUAAAUCGAUUGUAGAUGCCUCGAACGAGAAUGAGUAGAAAAGAUAAAUGGUUGAUGUACAAAUUACGGUGGCGGUAUCCCACCGACUAAAAUAGUUUAUUAAGAAUCAUGCUGGCGGUAUGCCUUGAAAAUAUUGUGCGGGGCGGUAUGCCGCCGACUUAUUGUUGAAAAUAAGUUACAUGGGGCCCGCGCGGGGCAAUAGUAAUUACUAAGUAAAGUAUUUCUUCAGGAUUGCGAUUGUUCUAGGAAUUCUCUCAAGUGCCCGUUGUGGACAAGUCUUCCGAGCGCUCGCAUAAGCUGAAAACACUCCUCAGUAGUGUGACCCCGAUCUCUGUGGUAUUCACAGUAAUUAUCCAAAUUUUGUUGUUCUGGAUUCUCCUUCAUCCAUCUCGGUGGUUGUAGAAUUCAUUUAUGUUCUAUGAUGAUCAUUAUGUCAACAAGCUUAUCCUUGAGAGGUGAGAACUUCUCGAAGGUGCGAUUUUUGGCGGGACGUCUCUCUUCUUUUCUAUUAUAGUUGUGGAUUCCCUCAUUGCGUUUUUGCUUAAGGAGUACCCUAAUUUCUGCAGUCUCCUCAGUCUGAAUGUACUUCUCAGUGCGACUCGGGAGCUCCUCUAGGGUCAUAGGGGGUCGGCCUGCGAUGUACUCUUGAAAACGAACAUGCUUCAAAUUGUAUUGCAGUAUGCCGGUUAACAUUUCGUGAUUAAGGAACGACACUUCAUGUACUGCUUUGACAAGUCGUUGCAGGUAAUUCAUGAGCGACUCUUCGUCCCGCUGUAUGACCUUGAAGAGAUACGACCAGUUUUGGCGUAUUUCUUGCUUAUAGAGUAUUGGUGACGGAAAAUCGUCGCUAGUUGGUCCAGGUUGUCUAUGGAGGAUCCGGGCAAGCCGUUGAACCAAAUUUAUACCUGAUCAGCUUGGUGGUCCGAAAAAUCUUGCAGUGAGCUGCGUUACUAAGACCGUAGAGGUCAAUCUUGGCGUAAAAAUUAUUCAAGUGAUCUCGGGGAUCCCCAAUUUUAUCGAAUUGGGAGAUCCGAGAAGCAACACUUCUUCCAUAAUAGCAUGAGCAAAUGGGUAUUUCGAAUGGACAAUGCCCCAAAGUGAGCGGCCGUCGACCUCGAGACUUCUCGUCGAGGACUCCUUGAGUUGUAGUCGUCGGAGCCUGCUCGAUGCCUUCUUGUCUCCUGGUGUCGGGAAGCUCUACUUCAGAGUUGGUUUCGAGGGGAGUUUUAGUGGGGGUGCGCAUGUUCACGGUGUCCCCCGCCUCGAGGCCUUUGACGAUAGUCAUACGACUGGGAAUAACCGCUUCUCGUCCGACGGCUUUGCUUCGCUUUCCCUUUAAGGGGCUCAGGCUCUUUGCCUUAGUGGACGCUGUGAUUAGCGACGAGUUUCCCUUCGAGGCACGCGGUGUGAGGAUGUGCUACGCUGAGGCGAGUGGCGGUGAACGCGCCUUCUGAGGAUGUGCUACGCUGAGGCGAGUGGUGGUGAGCGUAUCUUCAAGGCGCGCGGUCUGAAGAUGUGCUACGCUGAGGCGAGUGGUGGUGAGAGUAUCUUCGAGGCGCGCGGUCUGAGGAUGUGCUACGCUGAGGCGGGUGGUGGUGAGCGUUUCUUCGCGGAACCUGUUCGGAGGAAUAACUUUGGUCGUUGAGCAAUACUCUUUACUCUGAGACAUGGAGCUCCAAGAUUGGCGGAGUGGUACGGACAUGCACGAAAUCCGUAGGAUCGCUUCCCAUAUGAAUAUUUUCUUCAAAGUCAGUUGUGCUUUGAGCAUUGAUAUACUGAGCUACAACGUCUGUUGCUGCCCAAACUGCUACUUUGGCCACCGUCUUCUCCAUUAAGGCUUGUAACUCCUCUGCAAUCAUCUAGAUGACCGACACUGAAGAUCCUGCAAGGUUGGCCGCUCCAAUUGUUCUCUUCCUUCGAGGUGGUUCUAUGACACAUGCGCUACCUUGAAGCGGUUGUUUGAGAUUUCCUUGACCACCUUCAUUGGUCGCUCCCGUAGAUAUUUUCCUUCGAGGCAGCUCUGAGACUCCACCGCUACCUUGAAGCGAUUAGUUGAGAUCGCCUUGACCCUUUUCGUUGGACGGUCCCGUAGUUAUUUUGCUUCGAGGCGGCUCUUCCUUCGAGGCAGCUCUGAGACUCCACCGCUACCUUGAAGCGAGUGGUUGGGAUCGCCUUGAUCCUCUUCGUUGGCCGCUCCCGUAGUUCUUUUGCAUCGAGGCAGCUCUGAGACUCCACCGCUACUUUGAAGCGAGUGGUUGGGAUCGCCUUGAUCCUCUUCGUUGUCCGCUCCCGUAGUUCUUUCGCUUCGAGGCGUCUCUUCCUUCGAGGCAGCUCUGAGACUCCACCGCUACCUUGAAGCGAGUGGUUGGGAUCGCCUUGAUCCUCUUCGUUGGCCUCUCUCGUAGUUCUUUUGGUUCGAGGCGGUUCUAAGACUCUACCGCUCUUCGAGGCGGCUCUGAGACUCCGUCGCUUCCUCGAGGCGGCUCUAAGACUCUUCUGCUACCUUGAGGCGGCUCUGAGACUCCGUCGCUUCCUCGAGGCGGCUCUGAUACUCCGUCGCUUCCUCAAGGAAGCUGGUUGAGAUCGCCUUGACCUCUUUGUUGGCCGCUCUCGUAGUUCUUUUGCUUCGAGGCGGCUCUAAGACUCUACCACUCCUCGGGGCGGCUCUGAGACUCCGUCGCUUCCUCGAGGCGGCUCUGAUACUCCGUCGCUUCCUCAAGGAAGCUGGUUGAGAUCGCCUUGACCUCUUUGUUGGCCGCUCUCGUAGUUCUUUUGCUUCGAGGCGGCUCUAAGACUCGACCACUCCUCGGGGCGGCUCUGAGACUCCGUCGCUUCCUCGAGGCGGCUCAAAGACUCUUCCGCUCUUCGAGGCGGCUCUGAGACUCCGUCGCUGCCUCGAGGCGGCUCUAAGACUCUUCCGCUCCUCGGGACGGCUCUGAGACUCCGUCGCUUCCUCGAGGCGGGCGGCUCUAACACUCUUCCGCUCUUCGAGGCGGCUCUGAGACUCCGUCGCUUCCUCGAGGCGGGCGGCUCUAAUAAGACUCUUCCGCUCUUCGGGGCGGCUCUGAGACUCCGUCGCUUCCUCGAGGCGGGCGGCUCUAAGACUCUUCCGCUCUUCGGGGCGGCUCUGAGACUCCGUCGCUUCCUCGAGGCGGCUCUAAGACUCUUCCGCUCUUCGAGGCGGCUCUGAGACUCCGUCGCUUCCUCGAGGCGGGCGGCUCUAAGACUCUUCCGCUCUUCGGGGCGGCUCUGAGACUCCGUCGCUUCCUCGAGGCGGGCGGCUCUAAGACUCUUCCGCUCUUCGGGGAGGCUCUGAGACUCCGUCGCUUCCUCGAGGCGGGCGGCUCUAAGACUCUUCCGCUCUUCGGGGCGGCUCUGAGACUCCGUCGCUUCCUCGAGGCGGGCGGCUCUAAGACUCUUCCGCUCUUCGGGGCGGCUCUGAGACUCCGUCGCUUCAUCGAGGAAGCUCUAAGACUAUUCCGCUCUUCGAGGCGAGUGGUUGGGAUCGCCUUGAUCCUCUUCGUCAUGACACGUGAUCUAGUUUGCCUUCCCACAGACGGCGCCAAAAUGAUGCUGCUCCAAAAAUGAUGGGUCAGCCCAAUGGUCUUGAAGCCCACAGGUCUUCUAAGUCCGGGAAUCUUCAAGCCCAAUAUCGGGAAUGCCGAAAGUCCUUGCCACGCGUCCGAGGUAGUCGAAGGGAUCGCUCCACUCGUUAACCUACAAAACAGUUGAAAACACUAGGUGACACGCCGGGGGUGGCCCGGCGAUUGUCCUCCGACGCUCAAGUCAGAAAACUAUCACAAUAUAAGCAAAUAAUAUUAAUUAAUUGCCUAAAUAGUGCUUACCUUGUUAUGUGAUUGAUAACACAUAUUUAUAGGUGGAGUUUGGUAUGGUUUUCUUGUAGAAAACCAAUGUGGGACAAAAAAUUAGAUUUCUUCCCAUAGCUUCUUAUGAGGUUCUUAAUUAAGUGCCUUUGUGUUGGACUUUUCCUUUGAAUGAGCCUCAUGGGCUUUUUGGGUUAAUGCCCAAUUAGGCACAUCAAGGUGUUUGCAAAAUCAACUUUUGUUUUUGCUUCUCUUAAAAUAAUCUGCUUUAAGCUAUUUUUUUUAAAAGCACCCCUAACCCAGCUUUUUCAAUUUUAGUUCAUUUUCCGAAAUAUUUGCAAACACCCCCAACUUUUAGAAAUAAGCACUUAAAACUAACUUAAAUCACAAUCUCUAACUUAUGCUUUUAAAUAAUACAGUGAAUAAAUUGAAAUUAUCUUAUACUCCCAAAUUUUUUUUUUCUGAUGUUAUUAGGUGGUGUUUGCAAAUGAUUAAAAGCAGUUGUGAUUAUUUAUAUCAUUUUAUUUAAAUAAUUCAAUUCAUAAUAAAUUUAAUUUUAUUAAUUUACCAGUUGUGAUUAUUUAUAUCAUUUUAUUUAAAUAAUUCAAUUCAUAAUAAAUUUAAUUUUAUUAAUUUACCAGUUGUGAUUAAAUAUAUAAUAAAGGCUUGUAAAUAAAUAUUUUAUUACGUCAUCAAGUAGAUUUUAUUUAUCACUAAUAUAAACCUGAAAUGCAUUAUAAAUUAGUAUUCACACGUGCGCAGCAAAAUAACUAACGCGCGAAGUGGCUCUUUCACAUGUGAUUAUUUACGCGCCGAAACGUCAACGGUCUAAGACCUACGGGAUUAGAAAAUUAACGGGCCAUCCAAAAAUGACUGUGUUAUUAGAGUGCCACGUAAUAUGAUCCUGUCCGUUGACCCGAUCAUCAGUUAGAUAGAUCAGGCUACGUGGAAAGAUAACAGCCAUUCAUAUCGAGACACGUCUUGGUUGCUAUCGUAAACCAUACCUCAGCACAACGCAGCACUGAUUUAGGGCACGGAAAUCCGAAAAACAGCUGAUAAAAAGUCAACGAAGAUGCUUAAACAAAUAUAUUUAUUAUGGGUAAAUUACGAAAACCCCCCUAAACUUAGGCAAAAUGAUGCAAAACACCCCACUUUAUUCGUAAUUAUCAAAAAUCCCCUGAGAUUUGUUUCCGUCUUACUCUAACCCAUUAAUUACAGUGUUACUUUUCAAUGAUUUUUUUUAUUCCUGCGAAUAGACUUUACACAAUUUCAGAUAUUUUCUUUUAUUUCUCACCUAUUUAACAUAAGGUAUUAUAGACUUUACACAUUUUCUGUUAAAAAAACUCGAUCAACAGUUAAUUAGAGGGGGAUUUUGGUUAUUAUGGAUAGGUGGGGAUGUUUUCGUUAUUUAGCCUAAGUUUAUGGGGGUUUUCAUAAUUUACCAUAUAUAUAGUUGGAUUAAAGAAUUUAAAUAUUUCAAGCAAAGGUGUUGACUUUUGGGUAUGAAGUGGGGUAUAAUUGGACCACGUAUACAAAGAUUUGUGUUAUAAUCAACACUAAUCAAUUAUGUUGUCCCUCCCAACUUCCAACUGUCAAAUUUUCAUUAACUCUCGUGUAUAGAUAUAAAUAUUGAUUUUGAUGGUUAUGUAUUAUGACUAAUUAUAUAUAUAUGUUGUGUGUAAUAAGAAUGAAUUAAUCAAUUAAUCAUGCUACUUUUUGUCACCUAUGUAUGAACAGUUUCUAAUAGACCAUCUUGUUGUCUAUCGAGUAGCAGCCUUCGUGGCCUUAACUUGGAAAUGGUCAAACAGUCAACACAAUUAAUAUUCUAUAUUGUAUCUCAUAUUUAAUUUCACAAAUAUGAAAUAUACUGAUUUAAUUUCAUAAAUAACAAGAUGAAAUCACGAUUUCAUAAAUAAUAUUAUGAAAUAUUUACUGAGAUAAUGUCAAAUUAAGAAAAAAAAAUUAUAAUAUUAGCAUAAUUACGACCACCUAUCAACUAUUAAUCUUCUUACACGUCCACUUUUUGGUGUCAAAUUCAACAAAAUCUUCUAGAUUACGUGAAAGAUUCUGUUGUUUGUACUCGUCUUGUGUAAAAAUGCAAUUUCUGAUGCACCACAAUCUUAUACUUACAAGUAAAAAGACACAUCUUAUGAUCAUCAUGUUUCAAAGUGGAGUUUGAAUGAGAUAAAACGGAUACAAACUGUUGGAACCACGGCUGCACUUUGACGAACGAUCACGAAACUUGUGGAUUGAGGCUUGGACUCCAUUUGUUCUCCAAUUUUAUAGGUAACAAGUUGCUGCAAUAAAAGCCACGAUAAUAUGGAGAUAGGCAAGGUGAGGCGCGGACUAGGUCGCUCUCUUAAGACGAAUUUCACGACCCCUUCUCUAAUGAGGUGCAAAAAGGUUCCGAUCGUGUCGCCUAUGGGAUACAACAGCCCAGCCUAUCUCUCCGCUGUAACUUCACCGAAAUUGCACAUUCGAGUGAAGUAGAAGCUUACACCCGACACACAACAAGAGCUCAAAAUAUAAGUGUAUAGUAUAGAAGAAAAGUGUUUCUUUUUCUCUUCUCACUUUCUUCUUUACAAAGCUACAAAGCCACCUUUAUAUAGUAUAAAAUAUGACCACCAUAAAACCUAUAUUUAAUAUAGAAUUAAAGGAAAAAUAUUGAGGUUUUAUGAGACAAAAUAAAGUCUUUGGUGGUUUCAAAAUAUUGCUCUAAAUGACCUCAUAAAUUGGUCAAAGAAAAUAUUCGAUAAAAUAUUAUUUUUAUUUAAAAACCCAACAAUCCCCCACUAUUUUAAUAAAAAUAAGAAUAAUAAUAAUACUUGAGCUCUUGCGGAAUAUUAUGCAUAAUGAAAGUGAGCAAUGCCUUGAAACCUUCACUUAGUACAAUAUGUUUCCCGUACUAGAAUCAAAGUGGACUUAGCCUUGAAACAGUGACCCUUGGGGCACGUAGAAUCAUAUUGCACACAUAAUACUCAAAGUGUCCCGAUCGAAGCUUCUAAAGCCAGCACGUUAACGGCCAUGUGCUUUACCCCAUUUCUCGUGAGAGCUCUAGAGAAUAGCCUAUAAUUCUCAUAGGAAGCGGCCCCACUUCCACACUCACAAGGUGAAUUCUAUCAAGGAUGUUUACGUAACUCCAACACCCCACCCAUUCGGGCUAUAGAACUCAUUAAGAGAUCAAAGUCUCAACCUCACAAUUCGUUACGAGCUUUAUUAGUGCACACGCAUCAUAGGGAUGGAUAAUAAAAGUGUGCACUUUUAUCACUAUCAAGUUGCUUUCAUAUUCGUUUUUCUUCGCCUAGUUCGUAGGAUCUCUAGCCCCUAGGCGGUAGUAUCCUCAUCAACAACUUUACAAAAUAUUUUAGGCUUUCACCCAAUCCCCCUCGAUGCAUUUCGGAUGAUUUCUGAAAUAAUGUGAAAUAUAAUUUCACAAUUUUAAUAGCGCUUAUUCGACAUUUAGUCUCAUGGACUCAAUGGUUUAUUAACCAUUUCUCAUAUAAUUUCACAUAUAAUUUCACUUAAAUUUUCGCGUGAAUUUUCACAUAGAUUCACAGUACUGUAUUUUCUUUUAAUGGUUCCGGUUCCCAUUAAAAGAUUCUCGCAAUAUGCCAACUGCAGUUUUUCAAUCUCAUUUAUCAAAGCACAAAGCAUUUGAUUUUUCUCAAUCAUAUUUAUCAAAGCACAAAGCAUUUGAUUUAUUCUCAAUCAUAUUUAUCAAAUCACAAAGCAUUGAUUUAUCCCACAUUAGGAUUUUAUAUACCACAUUCGGUAUCAACCGGCCUCCUCACAGGCUAAUGUCAAAAUAAUCAAUCAAAAUUGAUAUGAAUUUUGACUUUUAAAUUAUAAACAAAUAGUCAUUCGCACAAUGUGAUACCUCUAAUCAAAUAGGAAUAUAAUUCCUCUUAUUUAGAUUUUCAAUAAUCAACAAUAUUGAAACUUUCAAAAAACGUUUCACUUCACAACUCACAAAUUUAUUUUCAGCAAAUUUAACAAUCACAAUUAGGCCUUUGUAAAUCACAUCAAUGUCACAUAUAUGCAAAUUUAGGCCUAUGAUAGUUACUUGUAUAAUCAAGAUUGCAAAUAAAGCAUAAUUUACACAUUAUCACUAUACAAAUUUGCAAUCAUAAAGUGAGCAAUUUAAACAAAAAUCACGUUAAAAUCAAUUAUAACAUGCUCAUUCAAGUAGACACUAAAACCCCCACUAUUUCUCAAUGCUAAAAAGCAUACCAAUGAAUCAUGAAUCAAGAUAGAAUGUAUUAACUCUGAUCAUGCUUAUUUUCGCAAUUAAAAUUUAUUACUAAUACCCCCACUAUUUCUCGAUAUUAAAAGCAUAUUGAUCAACAUAUAAGAUAUUUAAACACAUACAAUAUUAACUCCACAUAAUGAAUCAUGAAUCAAGAUACAUUUCAAUAAUUAUGAUCAUGUUCAAUUCUCAAUUAGAGAUAACUACCAUUACCCCCACAGAUCGUCAAUUUAAUCGGUUAUUUUUUUUUCAAAAAAUAAUAUAUUAAUUAAAUUUAAUCAAUGCAUAAAGGACAAUUCAUUGGGUAAUAAUGCACUAACGGUAACAUCAAAGAUUAAAUGCAAUUAAGCACACAUUAAUCAAAUAAUUACUCAUACGGUCAUACCUAUAAAGUAGUAUAAAAUCAAUUUUAUAACUGAAGCCGCUUGUGAAAUAAUUAAUUGGCAGGUGAUCUCCUUAGACCGAGAAUAUUAGAGAAAACAAUCUUCUCAUUAUUCAAAAAAUAAAUUAAAAAUCCCUUUUGAUUUAACAGUAAUUUGAGAUAUAGACGGUCACAACAGAGAAAUUGAAAAACUGAUUAAAAUAUUAAAAAAAAACAUUUUAUCGUUAAAAGGAAACCUCAACUAUACACACAAAGAGCUUUUCUCAUCAAUGGACUUGGACAAAUAGAUUAGUUCGUUGACUAAGGGCAUCUCCAAUGGAGUAAGCAAACUCUAUUUGUCUUCAAAAUAUAGAAAUUGUGGAAAAAAAUUCAACACCAACAAGAAAUUUAGUGGGGCUCUAAAUUUUCAGAUUUUUGCAUAAUCUCCAAACUUGUUCCUAAAUAUAGGACUUUGUUUGGAGACUCAUGUGUAUUUCAUGUGACUUUGUUUAGGAACUCAAAAUUAUAGAGCCCUCCACUGUGAGAUUUUAUUUUUUAGAGACUCUAAGAUUCCACCGUACCGGGUCUCUAUACGGGUCUCCAAAUACGAAUUUGGAGACCCGAUUUGCUUACUCCAUUGGAGAUGCCCUAAGAAUGCUAGCCGCUUAGCACAUACGAGCAACAAUGAUAACUCUCAGAUAUGACUAAGUGGUCAAUUAUAUUUCUAAUAAAUAUUAAUUACGCAAUUAAGCAGCAUAAAUAUUUAUAACCUCUGACAAGAAUUCUAAUUAUCAUAUUGCGAUGCUAAUUAAUCAAAGUAUGAUGAUCCAUAGAGAUUAUAUGUAAUAUCAAUAAUUUAUAUAAUCAUAAUACGUGUAUCAGUUUUUAUGAACAAAAAUAGACUACUUAUAAAUUUCAAUUUUCACAUGUCAAAUCAUUACCACAUGCAAUUUCAUUAAAAAAAUAUCAUAAUUAGUCGGUGUAAAAUAAGAACAUACCAGAUCUGAUGAAUUUUAAUUAUCAACUUUGUCGAACCCUAUAUGUUCUUUAUUCGUCAAAAAAUUGCGCGUAAUUGACAGCUUUGGCAAUGCUCAGUAUUUGUAGCAUAUCUCUCUCGUUCGAUGUCCAAUUUCAGCGAUUCAAGUUGUUUCGGACAGCCAACCGAAAUCCCUACAACUUUCGUGUUUUACGCAUCCUCAAAUUAUGAUUAUAUAAGGUCGUAAAUUUGACUCAAAGUCUGCACUCGUGAAUUGUACGAAAAUUCACCUACACAAAAAUAAGAUCGUUAAUUUUGUUUAGUCAACACUAGAUAAUAAAUAAAAAUGAAUCAUCUCCCUUUUCAUCAUCAAGGGUUGCUCUUUUGGAUAAUCGUCAAAGCUCAUCUUCAUGGGAUCAAAAAAUGAUUCGUCUUAAAUUGUUGGAACCACGGCUGCACUUUGACGAACGAUCACGAAACUUGUGGAUUGAGGCUUGGACUCCAUUUGUUCUCCAAUUUUAUAGGUAACAAGUUGCUGCAAUAAAAGCCACGAUAAUAUGGAGAUAGGCAAGGUGAGGCGCGGACUAGGUCGCUCUCUUAAGACGAAUUUCACGACCCCUUCUCUAAUGAGGUGCAAAAAGGUUCCGAUCGUGUCGCCUAUGGGAUACAACAGCCCAGCCUAUCUCUCCGCUGUAACUUCACCGAAAUUGCACAUUCGAGUGAAGUAGAAGCUUACACCCGACACACAACAAGAGCUCAAAAUAUAAGUGUAUAGUAUAGAAGAAAAGUGUUUCUUUUUCUCUUCUCACUUUCUUCUUUACAAAGCUACAAAGCCACCUUUAUAUAGUAUAAAAUAUGACCACCAUAAAACCUAUAUUUAAUAUAGAAUUAAAGGAAAAAUAUUGAGGUUUUAUGAGACAAAAUAAAGUCUUUGGUGGUUUCAAAAUAUUGCUCUAAAUGACCUCAUAAAUUGGUCAAAGAAAAUAUUCAAUAAAAUAUUAUUUUUAUUUAAAAACCCAACACAAACUGUAGAAUAUUCGACAUAAUUUGAAAGAUUUCACUAAAUAAAUUUGACACCGCAAAGGUGGACGCGUAAGAAGAUUCAUAAUUGAAUAUUUGUAACUAUCCAAACAUGAAGGGUUUCUUCGUAAUUCAACCUUACCUCGAAAGGGUGUCCGUAAUUUGCCCUCAAAUUUAUAUACUGCAUUAAAAAAAGAUUAUUCAUACUAAAAAAAGGAUAUCUAUUUUAUGACAUGCCUUUAAUAAAUGUUUUCAUUGAAUCUGAAAAGUAAGAAAAUUAUUUGCGUGCACUAAUUAUAUUGUACCAAACAAUAUUGACAAAUCUCAAACUAAUUAAUUAGUAGCUAGCUACCUUGUAGAUAUAUCAUGCUGAAUGACACGUGGGUGGAGUAUUAAAGGUUAAUUAUAUAAUUAAUCAUAAUUAGUGGAACAAAACCAGUAUUAUGAGUAUGACUCACUUAAUUAUUCUUCAUGUCCGAGUUCCAUAUACCUAAUGGCGGCUCAAAAAGCAAAGAUGAAUCCAAAUCUCACAAGUGUAUGGUUUUUCGGUAAAUUACGGUUACCUCCCUGAAGUAAAGUGUAAUUAUAAAAAACAUCUUCUUUCUAUUAGUUACAUUCAGCCUCCUACACUUUGUAAAUUAAAUAUCUUACAUCAAUCUCCUACAAAAGGGUGUUAUGUAAUAAAACUACAAAUUACGGGUGUUGAUGUAAUUGUGUUUCUAUGUAUUUGUUUUAUUUCAUGUGUUAUAUAUAUAUGCCAUGUUUUUUUUUAAAUAAAAUUUGAUAUAUAUGAAUCUUCAUCUUAUAGAUCUAUACAUAUAAUAAACGUGGUAAUAAUGCAUUACAAAAUCAACCAUGAUUCUUAAAAUAAAAUUGACAAGUUACCAAACAUAAGGAAAAUGACACUUAAAUUGUUUGUGAGGGUCAUCUUUGCUAUGGAAGUUUUAUAUCUGCUGGCAGCAAAAUAUAGAAGCCACAUAAAUUCAAUUAAGGUUUUCGUGUUUCAUAGAAGUUUCGGUACUUAUUUUAGAUAUAAGUUUUAACAUACAAGGCAUACAUUAUUUACGUGUUAUAUAUUAUUAAUUUUAGUAUACUACAUAAUAUAAAUAGAAUGACGUAGUUUUAUAUUUCGUGACGGGAAAUGUAUCCGUCCGAUUCCAAUAGUACAAUUGUUCUCGUGUUCGACGAGUUCAACGGAGUGAAGGGUCCGACUUGUUUACAGUUUACCCCUAAUAUGAAUGAAUCAGUUCGAUCAAAAAUAAAUAUUAAAAAUCACAUCUUCAUAUAUCUUAAUGGGCUGGCAGAUAUAUGGAAAUUGGUACCAUAUGUCACCCAUUUAUGUUAAUGGUUUAAUAUAUAUUCACAUUACAAUUUGGUAUGGCCCAUUAGUAUAUGUAAUUUUUAAUCAAAAUAGAAAAGCCUGUUCUUGAAAGGCUCAUAUCAAAUUAUUGGUCCAAAACUUUGUAACAAAAAUUUUCUCCUUGCAAUAAUAGUCACUAUUAAUUGAGUAAAAAUAUGUGUUUAUUUUAAGAUUGUGUAUAUUUUUAAUAUUUUUAAAUACUUCGCUAACAAUUUCUAAAUAAUUGAUACAUAGUUAAUAAAUUAUUAUAUAGAUCACGAAAUACAACAUUUUUUUUUGUUAAUAUUUUAUUGAAUAUCCAAAUUAUAAUUAAUUUGAGAAGUUGCUAAAUUUUUUUAUUGUUAAUAUUUUCUUGCUAAAUUUGGACCCCAAAUGUCUGUGACCAUCAAUACAAACUUACUAUUAAUGAGAUCUUUAAUUUAUUUUUAUUUUAAUUAUUUUAUUUUUGUUAUAUCUUAAUUAUAAAGGUAAAUGGGAUCUUUAAUUUAUUUUUAUUUUUAUUAUCACAUAAUUUUUGUAUAUAUUUUAAAUUAUCGCUAGAUGAAAAAAAAAACUUAAAUUACAUUAUUAUGAUUUAAAAAAUCUAUACUUAAUUUGAUUAACAAAUUUUUAAUAAUUUUUAAAUUUAAUUAUUUAUUAUUUUUUAAUAAUAUUUUAAUUUCUAAACAAUCAAAUUAAAAGGAAUAUAUAUAUACAUAUAAAUACAUUUUAGGAUCAAUUUCGUCAUUUCACGUCCAAAAACUAACUACCAAUCGCGCAACCCGCGAGUGAGCCACACUUAAGUCAACCGGGGCGGGUUUUGCCUUUGACUAAAUUUCACCGGGGAAUUUUUGCUAGUUUAUUUAUCAUAGGAGUAUUUUUGCUAUUUAAAGAUUACACAGGGGUACUUUUUGCAGUUUACUCCAUAUUUAUUAUACACUUAAAGCACGUAAACAACGCACACACACAUACACACACAGUGACGGACGGAAGAUGCUAUCAACAUCAAUUAUUGGUUACGAAAUUUAUACUAAUUAACGGCCGAAUCACGAUUUUAACUAGUGGCCUUCGUUAACGACGUGAACGUAACCGACGAUCCCACCGGAAGUUUACCGAUUUGGACCUUAAAAGUAUCGUACCGGAGAAAAAACUCCACCACCAUUAGGCGGCACAAGAGCACAACCAUAUCCUUGCCGGCGCAUUGCUUGUCCCCCGCGGUCGGUUCGUCGGUCUCUCUCCCGUUGGACCAGUACACGUACUCUAUCAGCUUCUCUCCUUCUCCGACGAAUCUCUCCGGCACGAACUCGUCGGGAUUGUCGAACACCUUCGGAUCCUUUGUCGCGAUUGGCUGGAAUCCGAACAGCAUUUCCCCCCUCUUGAUCGAGAAUGUCGAGUCGUGGUUAUGGAUUUCGAAGUCGUGUUUGGCCUUGCCGUACUGGUAGGAUACCGGCGGCUCGAUUCGCAGGGCUUCGUACACGACCGACUUGGUCAGCGCCAUCGCGUUGACCGCCGCGAGUGUGACGCCGUUCUCCUUCACGGCGGAUCUGAUUUCUCCGGCGAGGCGGCGGUGGAGAUCGCCGCCUGCGGCGGCGAUCCACUUGAUCAGUGACGGGAACAGAGCUUUCAUCCCGCCGUAGGCGUUGAAUCCGGCGAAGAACACCAGAUUGUGGCAAGCUUCGUCUCUUUGGAGCCCUAAUUUCUCAGCUUCGUCCAAAAUUGGGGCGGCGGAUUCGUAAACGGCGUCGUAAAGCUUUUUGUAUUUCGAUUUCACGAGGAAGGAAGGCAGCGGCACUGUGUGUAAAAGCAGAUCUUCUAGAAAGUUCGGGAGGAAUUUCAGCCCUAAACUGAGCAAUGGAGCAAGCUGGAAGAAAAUCCACAAAUCAACAAUUUUCGGGCCGUUGGGCCCGAUUCCGGUUUCCGACGGAUUUUUGUCGCAGAGCAGACGGAAAACGAACUGAAACGACAUCGUAUCGUUCAAAUCGUUGAAGUAUGAACUGCCAUUGGAAGCGAUUUCCUCAUCGAGGCCGGAGAAGAGAUCGGCCAUCGCCUGCCGGAAAAUAGGGAUGAAUUUAUCCUUUUUUUUAGAGAGUAGAGAGAGAAAGAAGGAUUUGAGAAGUCCAUGGUUAGGUUCGGAAGGGUCGAGAAAAGCGCAGGUGCGGAAGCCGCCGGUGUAGGCGGUGGUGGGCAUGUAAGUGCCGUCGAGGAGGUUUCUCUUCUCAACCUUGGAGUUGUCGAAGAGUGUACGGAAGCUGACGGCGUCGAGGAGGCAGACAACGGCGGAGCUUCGUGAUAUGAAUGGGCCCGGCGGCAUGUUGCACCGGAAAACUGUGGACUGGUACUUUAGCAUCCUGGUUUUGAAGAACUCGAGCUCGCCGCUGCCGUAGAAAUAGUCCAGGCGGUCCUUCAUUGGGCCGAAGAACCGCCGGCCGUAAUCGCCGGGGAUUUGUUUGGUGGGAAGCUUUGAAUUUGUUGCAGACAUGGUUGGGGGAAGAUGGAUUCUGAUUGAUAAUAUUAAUAUGUGUGUUUGGGAUAAAACAGUAGUCCUCAAAAUGAAAGAAGCAAUUAAUACAAGAAAAUGUAGUCAAUAUAUGUAGGGUUGGGAUUGGGUUGGGCAGGUCAAUUAUCAGCCUAAAAAUCGACCCAUUCAUCAAACCAUUUUUGCUCAAAUUUGAAAAUAGUUGCCGAUCCAACCUUUGUGGGUCGGUUGAUGGUUGACAACCGAAUAUUUGAUUCCAGAAUGGGUCGGUUGAUGAUUUAUAUCUAUCACCUAGUUCACUUAAAAAAAUCAAA
rnacentral:lncRNA from 1 species